UGAUUAAUGAUUGUACCAUAUCAGUCUAAAGUUCUGUUUUCACUGGUACAAGAGGAGUGGUGCUCUCUUGGUGAUUUUGGGGGCCGAAAUCUUGAAGUAUAUUUUUUUUGAAGUGGAGUGAUUCCACUUUGAGUUUUCCUUCAAACUUGUGAUCUUUGUGUUAAUAAACCUAUAUGGGCACAAAAUUGAGCAGCCACUGUUAUGAAGUUCAAGUAGGAUUUACCUGUUUUGUGCGGAUCAACACGGUACAUGUUGACGCUUCAUUUGCCCUGUCAAUUACUGCAUCUUGCAUCUUAACUGCGCAGUCUAAGCUGUUACAAUCAUACAAACUGAAAUUUCUUUAGUGGGUUAUUUUUAAUACCGCACCAAGUUUGCACGCUCUCUUGUAUAUGAGCCUGUUUCCUCUGUUGGGGGUUGGGUGAAACUGCUAACCCGGUCAGGCCACUCUUCUCCAGGCUCCACCUGUCUUCUCUCUUCUAUAUAGUGCCGAUUGAACGAACGUCUUUUGAUCCAGAUAAAUCUUGAAUUACUGCUUUAGUAUUGUCCUUGCCAGUCGAGGUGUUGCUUCCGCAGUGGUUUCAUGUGUCAAUGUUCUGGCCUUGAUAUGAGCUUGUACAGUCGAUGACCCGUACGUGGUCCAACAGCCCAUGGGUGUGGUCUGUUAGGGCAUCUGUUUUUCUAAAGCAUCGGUGUCUUUUUCUACAGAAAAACGCUUAGCCUGUAGAAAUAAGCAUCGGUGCUUAAGAAAAGUCUGAUUUAUUUUUUUAUAAGCACCUUCCCUAAGCAUAUUCUAUUGUACAAGGCCUAAGUAGCGUUUGAUGCCAGGAUUCCAGCGUCCAACUGCCGAUCGACGGGGAAAUCGCCAGGAAAUUGAUCCAGGCGCUUCUCCUAGCAUCUCCCAUUCGAGAUGUGAGAUGCCCUUACUGCUGGCUAUAAGGCUAUGGCAUAUUGUUCGCCCGUCCAGGAACCAUCUUGCUAUGAUGUACCCACCGAGAAAAAAGCACUUCGCUACAAAAUUGUCGAGCGAGCUGUGGCACUGCGCUAACUUGUGCCAUUCAUACAUUUUUAGGGCAUAAAAACGAUAAAUGCAAUUUUACCCCAUGCUUUUCCAUGCGGAGAAGAAAAAUGACUCGAAUGAAUGCCCAAUACCAAUUGGCCAUAGCUUGAAAGUUUUGUCUAAAAUCAAAUGUUGUAAAGUUCAAUUAAAAAAAUCAACAAAUACGACACUAGAUAUGCAUAAUCAAUAUUUUAUUGCAUUUAAUGAUACUAUUUUUUACCCCGCAGAAAAAUGAUAGUAUUUUGAUAUUGUAGUUGUUGAUAUAUUUUUGUGAACUCAAUUAAAUCUUUGUACCAUUUGAUUUCAAUCAAAAUGUAUAGAUCUUCUUUUCAAGCAUGGAGGCAGUACUGCUCAGACCAAGAUGAGUACGCGACACUUCGUAAUUUUGCCACAUGCCUGCCAUAUGUACAACAAUUGAGGAGUGGUUGGAUGGUUAGAGAGAUUGUGGUAUUCUCAACCCACCAGAGUUCAAGUCCUGGCGAUGUGCUUUCAGUGGGAGGAAACGUUUUCGUCGACGACGAGGCGCCUAUGAUGAUUUGUACUCAUAGGGAUAGGAUGUGCGUGUGUGCGUUCAUCCGAGUGCUUAGUGCUUGCGUCUGUACCGACGAUGUUAAAAAAAAAGCAAUUGAGGAAUCUGAUGGAAAGUUAGGAUAACCGUACGUCCAAACUGACCCGCAACGUUCUUGUAUCACAAACAAGACCCAAACUUAUUAUUCCGCGUACGUGCCGCAACUAUUAUUAAUCUGUGGAGUGGUUUCUCCCGGAGGAGGGGCCGCGUUUCAGCUGCUCCGCGAUGCCGGUGGCGAGGCAGUAGGCCACGGACUGUAUGGUGAUCAUGGGGUUGACGCCCACCGCGCUCGGCAGGACGCUGCCGUCGCACACGUACAGCCGCUCCGCCUCCCAGCUCUCGCCGCGCGCGUCCACGGCGCCGUCCCCCGCCGUCGCGCCCAUCCUGCAGCUGCCCAUCUGGUGCGCCGUGCAGCACAGGCUCCAGUUCUCGCUCUUGGACUGCGGCCCGCGCACCCCGGUCACGCCGUUCAGGAACUCCUCCACCUCCUCGUCCGUGGCGCCCUUGCAUCUCAGCCUCUGCCCGUCGCUCCGGUGCGUGCCGACCUCCGUCGCGCCGGCCGCCACCAGGAUGCGCAGCGCCCGCCGCAGCCCCUCGCGCUGGUUCUCCCUGUCCACCGGGUCCAGGUGGUACGCGAUCCGCCGCUCGCCGUGCACCGUCCCAGACCCGCGGUCCCUCACCAGGGAGAAGAUGUGCACCGUCCGGCCGUAGUUGAGCAUCCGCUCCUUCAUGUCGCGCCCGGACACCCAGGGGAACUGCGUCCCCGCGGCGGCCACGCCCAUCAGCGGCGUCUCGAGGAUGGCCCGGUGCGGCAGCCCGUCAACGGCGGCCUCCACCUUGUGCAGGGACGUGAUGAUGCCGCCCUCGUACAUCUUGCCCUUCAGCUCCGGCAUCUUGUCCGGCGGGAAGUAGCCCCACGCCAUGGCGAUCGGGUGGAGGUGGAGGUUCUUGCCGAUGUGCGGGUUCUUGAGCCCGCUGCCGCGCAGCAGCACCGGCGUGAGGAGCGAGCCGCCCGCUGCGACGGUCACCUUGGCGCGCACCUCCAGCUUCCUCGUGAUCGCCGGGUUGGAGCUCGUAGCCACUACGCCGACACACCUCUUCCCCCUCGCACCGGCCGCGUCGGUGAACAGCAGCUUCUCCGCCUUGCAACCCGUUAGGAUCACGGCGCCGCGGGCCACCGCGUCGACCAGCCACGUCGUGUCGGUGCCGCGCUUGUCCCCGGUGCGGCAGCCGUACCCGCAGCUGCCGCAGUAGUGGCCCUCCGACGAGUUCCUCGACACCGGCUCGACCUUGUACUCCAGCUUCUCGCACCCCUUGCGCAGGACCUUGUUCUGGAGCCCCUCCUCCUUGCAGCCCGACGUGACGCCAAGCCGCUUGAACACCACGUCCAUCGCGGCGGUGUACUCUGGCUUGCCGAACAGCGGCAGGCCGUGCGCGGCCGCCCACUCCUUGCGCACGCUGUCGGGUGUCUUGAUGCAGGCCGACCAGUUGACGGCCGAGCCGCCGCCGACCGUGGAGCCGGCCAGGAGGAGCCCGCUGCCGCUGAGCGUGCUCACGAACCCGCCGUACUCGUAGAGCUGGCUCAUCGACGGGCCCUCGAUGGACGUGUAGUCCCUGGCCGUGAAGUAGCUCCCCUUCUCGAUGACCACCACCUUGUGGCCGGCCCCUGCGAGCACCGCGGCGGCCACGCCCCCGCCGCAGCCGGAGCCGACGAUGACGACAUCGCAUUCGAUCCUGCACACGUUCCGCGCCGCGUCCUCGGUCACCGCGAGGCCCUUUUCGGCGAGGCUGGUCGGGAGGGACGCGUCGGUCUGGUGGAUGGUCUCGACCACGCCGUCGUCGAGUGGCCGCUUGGUGUUUGCCUGAUCUUCUUGCUCCGUAGGCUCGUCGGUUGGCGGGCUGUAGCCGAUCGCUCGCCAGUGAGGAUUCUCCGAGUUAUCGUCGGUCUGCGGGAAACGGAACACCAUUAUCAGAGCUGUUUGCUGUCAUUUUCAACUCAACAAAUCCACUGCAUUGUCAGAGCUGGUUGCUGUCAUUUUCAACUUAAAAUCUAUUUUUAGCACGCUUCCUAAAUUCGGGCCCAAUUGGUCUCGUCGGAGAAGGUGAAGAAUUAGUGAGAUUGUUCGGAAGUCGCAGCCAAGACAUUUUGGGAAAAAAAUGGGAAAAACCCAGCAAGAAAUUAAGUGUGCCUGUGCCAUCAAGUGUAUGGAACUUGUCCCUUUUUUGAUGGAAAAUUCUCACUCUUUUUGCUGUGCUUCAAGUCUCCAACCACCAAUAAAGUCUAAAAACGGGGACACGUCUCAUUCUAUUGAAUUAUUAUAUGGUAAAUAACCAACGGCCACCGGUGCACAUCACGGUCGGCAUGAAUCCACUGAUGUAUCGCCAUCAGCAGCGCUGCGGCGGAUCGAUUGGCCAAUUAUAGCCGCUCCGAGAGGGCCACGGCCGGCUGUGUGGUUACGUUCGGUUUCACCAUGUAUGAAGGACUUAUGGCCUUUUAAUUGUAAUAACACUGUGAACUUGUAAUAAAAACUCCCUAUACUCCGAAGAAAAAAGCAGCGCUGCGGCGGUGAUUCGUAGGGCAUGGGAUCCGUCGCGCUGUAAGCCUAAAAUUCACACGUUCGGCCCAACGAGUAAAAUGAUUACUGACGAACCUCCCGAUGUCCACAAAGAGUACGUGGCCUUUCGUCAGACUCUCAUGAAAGCGGUGGUACACUGGCUGCUACACAGCGUGCAUGCAUGCGUCCAUUAUUGCGCUGUGCCGCGCGCGCUCAGAGGCGCCAUGGCCAACAGCAAGAUCGUACACUACAGCACCACCACAAAUAUACUCGUAUACACGCUGCCGCCUGCCGCUGCAAUGCACGCGAGAAGCUAGCUAAUGUUUCCAUUUGCAAACUGGACAUAGUAGUAGUGCUACAAAAGUACCCAGUCAGUAGGCGUGCGUGCUCUGCUUACCCAGGAGUAGAAGACGUAGAGGCAAAAGACCUUGACGAGGAGGAAGAAGAGGCGCAGAGGCGGGAGCAUGGUCUCCCGGCUCCACCGGCGCAGCGCGUCCUCCCGCCGGUCCACCGGCAUCUCCGCGAACCGCUGCACGAACGGGGAGCUCCACGAUAGGCACCGCGCGCCGCACAGCGCGAGCGUCCCCAGCCGCGUGCCCAGCAGCCACAGCACCGUCCGCACCAGCGUCAGCGCCUCCCGGAGACACAUUGCCGACAUCAGCUGCGCGACCUGAGCGCGCAUGUGCGUACAGAGUCAGCCGCCGGUUGGUAACAAAACGCAGGUCGUCAAGACACGCCGUCGUAUCGUAGCUAGUCGCAGGUGUGUGUGCUACUAACCUCGUCCGGGACGGGCGGGUCGGCGGCGGAUGCGAGGAAGAAGUCCCGGACGGCCUUGUCGGCGGCCAGGUGGUGGCCGUCGGGCGGCAGCGACGGGACCAGCGCGCCGCACACGGCGGUGAGCGCCAUCAUCUGGGUGGCGGAGAAGCCGUGCGUGUAGGGCUCCUUCCUCGCACCUCCUCCCCGCAGGAGGGGAUGGCCCUGCCUUCUCUGCUUCUUGUCCUCUUCCAUGUCGCCUUUCUGAUGUCGUCACAGACUCACAGGGGGAUGAUGGAGCGUGGGUGGGUAGCGGCGAGGUGCGAGGUAAUGGACAAGCGGAGUGUGGACCGUGGAGGUACCGAGGCUUUAACAUUGGACGGAUGGGAUAUGGACGAUGGAUGGGCGGCAACGUCCGUCCGCUGCUUCCCGGGCCCCGCGGAGCGCGGAAGGAUUGCGAAAUUUCGGAACCAUCCAGGUACAGCUGUUUUCUUUUAUACUCCACUGUCUCAUCUUUUUCUUUUUUUUACUGUAUGAUCUUCUCAUCUGUUUAACUGAACCGGAGGUGCAGGGUAACUGCCUGAACUGAAGUGAAUCUAGAACGGCGCACAGCUCGUCGGCUGGACGGCUGCUGAAGGGUUACGUGCCGCGGGACGGCAGCCUGCUGUGUCGUCGCGCGCGGGACACCACAUGCAUGGUGCGCGGCCGGCGCAACGGCUCAACCGCGCGCGUGUUCUGUCCCCUCAGGCGGGCUCGGUUUGGAUGGAUGAUGCGAGCUGCAACCUCGUGACUGUGGACCUAAAACAUUUUGCUUGGAGAAUCUGGAGGAGACGGAUGGAUGCUCGGCGUACCAAGCACGUACGUUGCAACAGCAAAAACGGAGAGUGCCGAUCCAAUUGACUUCAUACCGAGCUUACCUUCUGGUACCCCGGAAAAAGGACAUUCUCCUAAGGGCGAUCAUGACGUCAAGUACUUCUUGUUCUAUGGCUCUGUGCAGAUGACUAGCCUGACGGUACCUACCAAGGACGGGGUAGCUAUUUUACAGUACGACACAAUCUUGUACUCCCUACAAACAACAACGACAACAAUAAAACCUUUUAGUUUCAAACAAAUUGAGAUAGACUAAAGAUGAAACCCAUAAAAUCUCGUGGCACGCAUAGAUAGAUAGCCGCCACGCACCCUUAUUCAUAGCUAGUUCUUUGGUGAUAUUUUAAUCUUCCGGUCUUUCUUAACGAACUCCUCUCAUUUCAUCGGUCUACCCUGACCUCUCUUGACAUUCUCCGCAUGCUUUGGUCAUCCGCUAUGUAUUGAAAUUUUUGGAGGCUUACGCUGAAUAUGCCCAAAACAUCUCAGACAAUGUUGAACAAACUUCUCUUCAAUUGGUGCUACCCCAACUCUAUCUCGUAUAUCAUCAUUCCGGACUCGAUCCUUCCUCGUGUGGCCACACAUCUAUCUCAACAUACACAUAUCUGCCACACGUAACUGUUGAACAUGUCGCUUUUUAGUCGGCCAGCACUUAGCAACAUACAACAUUGUGAGUCGAACAACCGUCAUGUGGAACUUGCCUUUUAACUUUUGUGGCACCCUCUUGUCACAAAGAAUGACAGAAACUUGGCGCCACUUCAUCCAUCCAGUUUUGAUUCGAUGAUUCACAUCUUCAUCAAUACCCCAAUCCUCCUGCAGCACUGACCCCAAAUAUUGAAAGGUGUCCUUCUGAGGUACCGCUUGCCCAUCAAGCCUAACCUCCUCCUCUUCACACCUAGUAGUACUGAAACCGCACAUCAUGUACUCGGUUGUAGUUCUACUAAGCCUAAACACUUUUGAUUCUAAGGUUUGUCCCCAUAACUCUAUCGUCAACUAGCACCACAUCAUGCGUAAAGAGCAUACACCAUGGGAUAUCUCCUUGUAUAUCCCUUGUGACCUCAUCCAUCACCAAGGCAAAAAGAUAAGGGCUCAAAGCUGACCCCUGAUGCAGUCCUAUCUUAAUAGGGAAGUCAUCAGUGUCGACAUCACUUGUUCGAACACUUGUCACAACAUUAUCGUACAUGUCCUUGAUGUGGGUAAUGUACUUUACUACGACUUUGUGUUUCUCCAAGGCCCACCAAAUGACAUUCUGUGGUAUCUUAUCAUAGGCAUUCUUCAAGUCAAUGAACACCAUAUGCAAGUCCUUCUUUUGCUCCCUGUAUCUCUCCAUAAGUUGUCGUACCAAGAAAAUAACUUCCAUGGUCGACCUCCCAGGCAUGAAACAAAACAGAUUUUUGGUCACGCUUGUCAUUCUUCUUAAGCGGUGCUCAAUGACUCUUUCCCAUAGCUUCAUUGUAUGGCUCAUCAGCUUAAUUCCACGGUAAUUAGUACAACUCUGAACACCCCUUGUUCUUGAAGAUUGCUACUAAUAUACUCUGUCUCCAUUCUUCUGGCAUCUUGUUUGCCUGAAAAAUGAGAUUGAAAAGUUUGGUUAGCCAUGCUAUCGCUAUGUCCCCUAGGCCUUCCCGGACCUCAAUGGGGAUACAAUCAGGGCCCAUCGCCUUGCCUCCUUUCAUCCUUUUUAAAGCCUCCUUGACCUCAAACUCCUGGAUUCGCUGCACAAAACUCAUGUUGGUCUCAUCAGAGGAGUCGUCCAGUUCAAUGGUAGAACUCUCAUUCUCCUCAUUGAACAACUUAUCGAAGUACUCCUGCCAUCUAUGCUUAAUCUCCUUGUCCUUCACCAAGAGUUGGUCUACUUCGUCCUUGAUACAUUUGACUUGGCCAAUAUCCCUUGUCUCCUCUCUUGGAUCUCGGCCAUCUUAUAGAUGUCCCUUUCGCCUUCCUUCGUGCCUAACCGUUGGUAGAUGUCCUCAUAUGCCCGACCCCUUGCUUCACUGACAGCUCGCUUUGCGGCCUUCUUCGCCAUCUUGUACUUCUUUAUGUUCUCUGCACUCCUAUCCAGGUAUAGGCGUCUGAAGCAAUCUUUCUUCUCUUUAAUCGCCUUUCGGACAUCAUCAUUCCACCACCAGGUAUCCUUGUCUUCGCUUGUCCUUCCCCUGGACACUCCAAACUUCUCCGAGCCCGCCUUAUGAAUGCAAGUUGCCAUCUUCAUCCACACAUUGUCCGCAUACCCUCCUUCCUCCCAAGGGCCCUCCUUAAUGACCUUCUCCUUGAGCGCCUGAGCUACCUUCCCCUUGAGAUUCCACCACUUCGUUCUAGCGACUUUGGCAUGCUUAUCCCGCUAGACACGAAUCCAAAAGCAGAAGUCAGCAAUCACCAGCUUAUGCUGAGGUACAACACUCUCUCCAGGUAUCACCUUACAGUCUAGGCACGCACGCCUAUCUUCUCUUCUCAAGAGGAUGAAAUCAAUCUGGCUAGAGUGUUGGCCACUACGAAAAGUCAACAUAUGUGAUUCUCUCUUUCUAAAGAGGGUGUUAGCUACAAUCAUGUCGUAGGCUAGAUCAAAGCUUAAGACAUCUUCUCCUUCUUGAUUCCUGAUGCCAUAGCCAAAUCCCCUAUGUGCCCCUUCAAAAUCUGUGUUAGAUGUACCCACGUGGCCAUUGAGGUCUCCUCCUAUGAAGAGCUUCUCGCUAAUCGGUACACUCCUAGCCAUGUCUUCCAGGCCUUCCCAAAACUCCCUCUUAGUGUUCUCAUUGUGACCUACUUGCGGGGCAUGCGCGCUGAUAACAUUGAGAACUAAGUCCCCAACUACCAGCUUGAUUAGGAUAAUUCGGUCCCCACGUCUCUUGACGUCUACCACUCCAUACUUGAGGGUCUUGUUGAUCAAGAUGUCUGCGCCAUUUCUGUUUACUGCCGUCCCCGUGUACCACAACUUGAAGCCGGUAUCCUCCACCUCCUUCGCCUUCUGUCCCCUCCAUUUGGUUUCUUGGAUGCAAAGGAUAUCAACACCUCUCCUCACCGCUUCAUCAAUGUGUCACCCCGGCUCAGAGCAACCGGUUUACCUUGUAUUGCCAUCCCAGAGAUCAUGUCUUCUGGUAAUACACAACAACUUGGUACAGAAAUACAACCGCUUUAUUGAUCUCUUGCGGGAACAUAGGUUCGAUGAUACAUAAGGUAGCGAGGCCAAGCGGCACACACGCUGUUGCUGCACAUAUGUACAUUAUUUAGUACACAUGUUGGGGGCCUCGAUGAUAAUGACACAGCUACUCGGCAGCGGAACAACGACGUAGUAGGACUCCAUCUCACAGAGACACUGCUGGGACACGACCUAGACUGUGAUGCACGAUGCAACUCCAACUCCUGGUACAACUUCUCCUGAAACUGGCAUGACACGCCAGGUGAGUACUUUGAAUGUACUCGCAAGCUCACGAAAAACAAAACAACAGUGCCAAACAACAACAUGAUAUUUAAGCAGGUUAUAUGUAAGAACAUGACAUGCUACUCAUGUAGUGGAGGUGUUUGAAGCACAUGGUCCCUUGGGCCAGCUUACCAUCUCGGUUACCUCGUAACCAUAUCCAUCAUCUUACCAUGGUGAUCACUGCAGGAUCACAAAAGAAACAAACUUGAUGAUCCCUAUAGAUCGUUCACCAUAACAUGUGCCAUUAAUAUAACUUUAGUGUGCAGGUUAAUUAUUUCUGCUGACCCACCAUGUGACCUACUACGAAUUGUGUCCGUAACCGAGGACGCGACUAUCGAUAGGUUAAACACACUCUGCAGAGGUUAGUACACUGUACCCACACCACAGAACCCAUGGCGUCGUACUCCCAUUCGGGUGGACCGACGGUGUUCCAACAAAACUAAUCUAUUGCCUGACACUAUCCCAGCCACUCUAACCAACUCCCCUUUGGACUAAGUCAUGGGUGGCCCCGCAUGCCACUCCGGACAUCAAACGACCACCAUCGUGGCAAAACAAAAACGGUCCCAAACAGGGACAAUGUACCAAAAUAACUAUGGGCACACAAGGCUAUGCCUGCCUACCAGGCCAGGGUAGCGCAAGCGCAUAUCCUUCCCUCGUUGGAGGCAAUAGACCAAAUAAGGGCCUUCCCAUAAAGGCAAAUGUGUUGCACUGGGAAGCUCGAUUCGGUGGCACCAUGACUCGAUCAACCACAUGUUCAAGUUGUAUUAUCACCAUGAUUAACUUGAAAUAAAAUUUACUCGAGCCAUAGUAUGCCAUGAAAUGCACAUGCAAGGAUUCAACAUAAUGAUGAUACUUAUCAUAAGCAUGAUCAUAACAAGUUAACCCUACUGCAUAACUUAACAAAGUAUCCAACAUUAUUAUGUAAAACAUAUAAGCAUAGCAUGAAAAGUAAACUAGCACAAGUUAAAUUAUGUUAAUAAACUAAAUGAAUAUACGACUUUAAAUUCAAGUAAAAUCAUAGUCAUUACAAAGUCAUCCUUGCAAAUGUUUGUGGUGGCUUGCCUUAGUUCAGAGGAGGGUCACAAAACUUUUGGUCCUCUUCAAGACAAGUUGAACCUUCUGAAAAUAGUCCAAAUACCAAAAAGAAAAUGUCACAUAAAGCACUUUAAUGCACCAGAAAAUAUGUACAACAAGGAAAAAUCUCAACUUUUGCAUGAUAAAAGAGGAGCUCAUCACAAAACUGUUGCAAAAAGAAUCAUCUCAUUUGACUUGUGGUUUAGGAUUUAUAGCUUGUCAAAGUUCACUCAAAAUAUAUGAAUUUAAACAGAAAAUAGACAACCCCAGAGAGAGCCACGUCGAAGGCGUAUUUUGCAAACAUGCCUCCACUCAUACCGCUUUGGGAGAGAGAAGAGAGGCUGAAGGGUGGGAUCACCUCAUCAUGUUUGAGAGAGAGAGAGAGAGAGAGAGAGAGAUAGACGACGGCUCGGCCGGUGAUGGCUCUCCGACAAGGAGGCCACAACGACUGCUGGUGAGGUGGGGGACGGAUGCAGCUCAUCCAGGCGAGAAAGCACGUACCCGAAACAUGGGCAGAGGUGGACGGGCCGCGUCGCAGUGAUCGUCUCUAGAGGCGGCGGGCGGCGGAGCUCGUCGGAGUCGGUGUUUCUGGCGGAGAUCCGACAAACGAAGCAGAUUGCCGUGCUCAGGAGAACCUCACGAUCACGCCUGGGAAGAAGAACAUGGUCGACGAGCACCAGAGCAAGUGGGCGGCCGUGGGAGAUACGCGGCCAACUCUGGCGAGGGAUGGCGGCUAGAGGCCCACCCAGCCUUGCCGCGGUGCUCAACUAUUGAAUUUGUGGCCAUAGAAGGUGGGUGGGAUGCUUAGAAAGGCUCGGGGUGGCUAUAUUAAUAGGGGAGGGCGAGGCAGAGCUAAAGGCCACCAGCAAUCCUUCUGGAGCGGCGAGAGGCGACGAGAGGGGCUCAUGCUUGAUGGGAGAGGUCGAGGGAGAACAUCCAAACACAGUGGCAGCACAGAGCCAAGCAAGAGGACGCGAGAGAGGGACGACUCGAUCACACGGGUCACUGUGCUCUCUGCUCCGCCGUGUCCGCGUCCGCCGAGCCAGCUACCGGCAUCAAGGAGCGAUAGAGAGGGGCUGAGAGGAAGAGGCUGAGGUAGCAGGAGGGUAGAGACACGCGAGGGUGGCGUGGGUGGCCUCACAGGCGAGGUAGAGAGGUGUUCGACACACAGAGCGCGCCGAACGCAUGCCAUGCGCCCUGUACUUGAUGUCUACUACACAACUUGUUCUUGUAGACUCGUGUUCGCCCUCCAAGCGCAGAGUUUUGUAGGACAGUAACAAAUUUCCCUCAACCUCAAGUGGAUGACCUAAGGUUUAUGAAUCCGUGGAAGGCGUAGGAUGAAGAUGGUCUCUCUCAAACGACCCUGCAACCAAAUAAUAAAAAGUCUCUUGUGUCCCCAACACACCAACUACAGUUGUAAUGUGCACUAGUUCGGCAAAGAGAUGGUGAUACAAGCAUAGUAAUGGUAGUAGAUAUUGAUUUUUAUAAUAGGAACAAUAAAAACAACAAGGUAGCAAUUGAUAAAACGGAGCACAAACGGUAUUGCAAAGCUAGAAAAUGAGGCCUAGGGUCCGUACUUUCACUAGUGCAAUCUCUCAACAAUGCUAAUAUAAUUGGAUCAUAUAACCACCCCUCAAGAUGCAAUGAAGAAUCACUCCAAAUUUCUUAUCUAGCGGAGAACAUAAGAAGCAACUGUUUGUAGGGUACGAAACCACCUCAAAGCUAUUCUUUCCGAUCAAUCUAUCCUAGAGUUCAUACUAAAAUAACACCAAGCUAUUCUUUCCGAUCGAUCUAACCAAGAGUUCAUACUAAAAUAACAUCAUAUGAUACACAUCAACCAACUCUAAUGUCACUGCGAGUAUCCGUGAGUUGAUUAUACGAUAUGCACCAAACAAUUUCAGAUUCAUAAUACUGAAUCCAACACAAAGAACCUCAAAUAGUGCCCCGAGAUUUCUACCAGAGAAACAAAGACGAGAACGUGCAUCAACCCCUAUGCAUAGAUUACCCCAAUGUCACUUCGGGAAUCCACGUGUUGAGUGCCAAAACACAUAUCAAGUGAAUCAAUAUGAUACCCCAUUGUCACCGUGGGUAUUCAUAGCAAGAAAUACAUAAAGUGUUCUCAAAUCCAUAAAAUUAUUCAAUCCAUAUGAACAAAAUCUCAAAGGGAGAACUCAAUUCACAACAAGAUAGAGAGGGGAAAACACCAUAUAAUCCAACUAUAUUAACAAAGCCCGCGAUACAUGAAGAUCGUGACAUCUCAAGAACACGAGAGAGAGAGAGAGAGAGAGAGAGAUUAAACACAUACCUACUGGUACAAACCCUCGGCCCUGAGGGUGGACUACUCCCUCCUCAUCACGGUGGCCGCCGGGAUGAUGAAGACGGCCACUAGUGAUGAUUUCCCCCUCCGGUGGAGUGCCGAAACGAGGUCUAGAUUGGUUUUUCGUGCCUACAGAGGCCUGCAGCGGCGGAACUUCUGGUCUAGGGUUAUUGCUGAUGGUUUCUCUAUUUAUAGGAUUUUUCAGCAUUGGAAUCACGCGAGGAUGGGCCUCGAGGUGGGCACAACCCACCUGGGCGCGUCUGGGCCACCUGGCGCGCCCAGGUGUCUUGUGCUCACCUCCUUCACCUUCUGCUCCUCCCACGAAGCUUCUAUUGCCUCUUUUGUUCCCAAAAAAUCAUCAAAAAGUUUCAUUGCAUUUGGAGAACUUUUAUUUCUACACAAAAAACAACACCACAGUAGUUCUGCUGAAAACAGUGUCAGUCCGGGUUAGUUCCAUCCAAAUCAUACCAAAACCAUAUAAAAUUGUUUUAAAUAUGGCAUGAAUACUUCCUAAAUUAUAGAUACGUUGGAGACGUAUCAGCAUCCCCAAGCUUAAUUCCUACUCGUCCUCGAGUAGGUAAAUGAUAAAAGAAAUAAUUUAUGAAGUGUGAAUGCUAGCAAAGUGCAUAUGUUUGAUCAAUGAUAAUUUCAAUCACUUUUCCUAGCAUCAUAACAUCAAUUCUUUCUCAUAAAACUUCUCAUGUUAAAGUAGCAACCAAUUCACAUGUUAAGGUUCAAACAAUGAAUUCUCUUGAAACUCAACACGCUAUAUUCUUAGUCACCAAACAAUUGCAAUUCAACUUAUUCAACGGAGUCUAAGUAAGAGCUCAACAUACUCAAUCAUCAUAUAGUCUUCCAUGAUUGCUAGUACUCAAAGCAUAUUUUUAGAACAAAUGGCAUCCAUCAAACAUAGAGAAAGACAUGGGCUUAAGGUUUCACCUCCCAACUCAUUUAUCAUAGAGAUAAUUGUCAACAAUAAUAAAUCAUGAUCAAAUAUAUUCGACUGGUCAUAUGUUCCUAGAUCUUUUCCCAUCACAUGAUGCUUGCCAACUAGAGAAUAAUUGAGGUUGAAAUGAGAAUGCAUACUAUUGACUCUUUCAUAAAAGUAAAUACUGAAAAGUAAAAGAUAGGCCCUUCGUAGAGGGAAGCAGAGGUUGUCAUGCACUCUUACUUUUUGGAUGCCCAAGCUCUUAAUGCAAAGGAACGUCACAUUAUAUUGCCCCUUAUGAUAGCAACCUUUAUUAUGCAGUCCAUCGCUUUUAUUACUUUUCCAUCACAAGUUCGUACAACGCUCACUUUUCCCUUACAAUAAAAGAUCAAGCAUAUUAAGGAGCAAUUUUUAUUGCUUUAUGCACCAAUGACAACUUAAUUGAAGGAUCUUAUUCAAUCCAUAGGUAGGUAUGGUGGACACUCAUGGCAAGAAACUAGGUUUAAGGGUUUGUGGAUGCACAAGUAGUAUCUCUACUUAGUACAAAUUUUUGGCUAGCAAAAGAUCCUAGGCAAACACCACAUGUUGGAGGAUCCAUAACAAUAUAACUUCUAUGCAAAUAUACACAACCAUAACUCAUUAUGUUGUCUUCCUUGUCCAACUUCAACUAAUUUGCUCAAGUUUGAAAAUAACUAAUGGAUAUUCACAAUCACAGAAGAUGUCCAAGAUAAUAUAUUUGUAUGUGAAAGUUCUCUUCCUUAUACUAAUCAUUCAUGAAUUGCUUGUAUGACCAAUAUUGUGAUUGUCAAGCUUCAAUAGAUUUCAGUUUCUAAACUCAAUAUGAAGCUACUACGAGGCAUGAUAUGAUUUCAACUUCAUGAUAUUCAAUUCAUUCAACAAUUUAUUCAUAGGAUAUAAGUGAAGCACAAGAUUAAAUGACAAACUACUCCAAAAAGAUACAAGUGAAGAUCAAGCAAGUAGUUAAGUAAAGGGGUAGCUAAUUGCGGACUACCUUAUUUAAAAACUUUCAUAUCUAAGUAUUUUGUUAAAAUAUCAAGAUAAACAAAGCAAAAUGACAUUCCGAAAAUAGCACACAUCAUGUGAAGAAGCAAAAACUUAGGCUCAACCGAUACUAACCGAUAAUUGUUAUGAAGAAAUGUGGGAUGCCUACCGAGGCAUCCCCAAGCUUAGAUGCUUGAGACUUAUUGAAAUAUUAUCUAUGGAUGCCUUGGGCAUCCCCAAGCUUGAGUUUUUUUCUACUUUUUAUAUCAUGGUUUCCCCAAAUCUUAAAAACUUCAUCGACACAAAACUCAACAAGAAUUCAUGAGGUACGUUAGUAUAAAUCAAUGAAACACCUUAUCAUUCUCAACUGUAGAAAAUCACUAAAAUUAUUCAACAUUGCAUACUAAAUGCCUCUGCAUAUUUAAUAUUCCUAUCCUCAAAUAGAAUCAUUAAACAUGCAAACAUGUGCAAACAAUGCAGACAUAACAACAAUUUGUCUAAACAGAACAGUCUGUAAAGGGUGAAGAAUUACCCAUACUUAUUUAACUCAAACAAUUCUAAAAAUUUACCACACUGUAGAAAAUUUUAUCAUAGCUUAUUGUGCAAAAAAAUUCAGCAUUUUAUAACAUCCUGACUUCUCUCAAGAAUUUUUGCAAUAGCAAUAAACUUCCUGUUUUGAAACAGAAACUCGUAUACUUGCAAACUAAGCAUGGUAAAGGCUAUCCUUGCCACUUUUAUUGAAAUAAAAGAUAAAAAACAUUAUUCUAAAUAACAGCAAGCAAAUCAAAACAAAAUAAAAUGACACUCCAAGAAAAACUCAUAUCAUGCGACGAAUAAAAAUAUAGCCUCAAGUAAGGUUACCGAUAUUGUUGGAGACGAAAGAGGGGAUGCCUUGCGGGCAUCCCCAAGCUUAGUUGCUUGGAUCUUCCUUGAAUAAUAGCUUGGGGUGCCUUGAGCAUCCUCAAGCUUAGGGUCCUGUCACUCCGUAUUCUCCUCAUAUCGAUAUCACACCCAAAACUUGAAAACUUCAAUCACAUAAAACUUAGCAGAACUUCAUGAGAUGGGUUAGUAUGAUAAAUAAAAAUCAUUCACUUUGGUACUGUCAAAGACAAGAUUCAUAAUUUAUAUUCAGCAAUAAAUGUCACCGUGAGUAUCCGUGAGUUGAUUAUAUGAUAUGCAUCAAACAAUUUCAGAUUCAUAAUACCCAGUCCAACACAAAGAACCUCAAAGAGUGCCCCAAGAUUUCUAUCGAAGAAACAAAGGCGAGAAUGUGCAUCAACCCCUAUGCAUAGAUUACCCCAAUGUUACCUCAGGAAUCCGCGAGUUGAGUGCCAAAACAAAUAUCAAGUGAAUCAAUAUGAUACCCCAUUGUCACAACGGGUACUGAGGGAGUCCCGGACUAGGGGGUGUCCGGAUAGCCGAACUACCAUCAUCGGCCGGACUCCAAGACUAUGAAGAUACAAGAUUGAAGACUUCGUCCCGUGUCCGGAUGGGACUUUCCUUGGCAUGGAAGGCAAGCUUGGCGAUACGGAUAUGUAGAUCUCCUACCUUUGUAACCGACUCUGUGUAACCCUAGCCCUCUCCGGUGUCUAUAUAAACCGGAUGGCUUUAGUCUGUAGGACGAACAACAAUCAUACCAUAGGCUAGCUUCUAGGGUUUAGCCUCCUUGAUCUCGUGGUAGAUCUACUCUUGUAACCCACAUCAUCAAUAUUAAUCAAGCAAGACGUAGGGUUUUACCUCCAUCGAGAGGGCCCGAACCUGGGUAAAAACAUCGUGUCCCUCGUCUCCUGUUACCAUCCGCCUAGACGCACAGUUCGGGACCCCCUACCCGAGAUCCGCCGGUUUUGACACCGACAUUGGUGCUUUCAUUGAGAGUUCCUCUGUGUCGUCACCGAUAGGCUCGAUGUCUUCUUCGAUCAUCAACGACGAUGUAGUCCAGGGUGAGACCUCCCUCCCCGAACAGAUCUUCGUAUUCGGCGGCUUUGCACUGCGGGCCAAUUCGCUUGGCCAGCUGGAGCAGAUCGAAGGCUACGCCCCUGGCCGUUAGGUCAGAUUUGGAAGUUUGAACUUCACGGCUGACAUCCGCGGGGACUUGAUCCUUGACGGAUUCGAGCCACAGCCGAGCGUGCCGUACUGUCACGAUGGGCAUGAUUUAGCUCUGCAGCCGGACAGUACCCUGGAGGCCACACUCAAUCCCGCUCUGAUCUUCGACUCGGGGCCGGCUGCGCAGACCAAGGAUGGAUGGCUAGACACCACCUCGGGGGCUGCAACCUCUACGGCGAUAGAGCCGAACACCGAUCUUGUCCCCCAUGAAGCUCGUGACUCCGAGGUGCCGGACUCCUUGCCGGACUCCGGACCUCCCGCGCCCCCUCCAGUCGAAACCGAUUGGGCGCCGAUCAUGGAGUUCACCGCGGCGGGCAUCUUUCAACACUCACCUUUUGGCGACAUCUUGAGUUCGCUAAAGUGCCUCUCGUUAUCAGGAGAGGCCUGGCCGGACUGCGGCCAGGACGGUUGGGAUGCGGACAACGAAGAAAUUCAGAGCCCACCCACCACCCACUUGGUAGCCACUGUCGAAGAUCUAACCGACAUGCUAGAUUACGACUCUGAGGACAUCGACGGUAUGGACGACGAUGCCGGAGACGACCAAGAACCAGCGCCCACCGGGCACUGGAAAGCCACCUCUUCAUACGACAUAUACAUGGUGGAUAUCCCAAAGGAUGGGAACGGCGAAGGAAUAGCGGAGGAUGACCCCUCCAAGAAACAACCCAAGCGCCAGCGUCAGUGGCGCCGCUCUAAAUCCCGCCAUAGCAAGAAUGAGGAUUCCGGCACCGGAGACAAUAAUACACCAGAUAGCACCAAAGACAACCCACUCCAGCAAGAUCCAGCACAGGAGGAGGGGGACGCCAGCCCUCAUGAGAGAGCGGCCGAAGAAGAGGUAGAGGACUAUAUGCCUCCCUCCGGAGACGAGGUAAGCCUCGACGACGACGAAUUCGUCGUACCUGAGGAUCCCGUCGAACAGGAGCGUUUCAAACGCAUGCUUAUGGCCACGGCAAACAGCCUCAAGAAAAAGCAGUAGCAGCUUAGAGCUGAUCAAGAUCUGCUAGCCGACAGAUGGACCAAAGUCCUCGCGGCCGAAGAGCAUGAACUAGAACGUCCCUCCAAAAGCUACCCCAAACGUAAGCUGCUCCCCCGAUUAGAGGUGGAGGCAUAUGAUCCCGCUUCACCAGGAGACAAUACGGCUGAUUGACCACCCCGUGGUCGCGACAGAGAGGCCUCAAGGCCCUUCACUAGACCCGUACCCCGACAUCGCUCGAAAAGCACAAGGCCACAGGGGAACACUCCGGACCUGCGAGACAUAUUGGAGGAUAAGGCAAGACAAUCAAGAUCGAUCUAUGGAUCACGUGGGCGCCCCACGAUACGUGACAAUCACCGUCUACCCGGACACAGUAAGUCCGGCCGGGCCGAACACAACAAACAAAGCUCUUUUGAGCUCCGUCGCGAUAUCGCCCAGCAGAGAGGCGCCGCACACCCACUGUGCUUCACAGAUGAGGUAAUGGAUCAUCAAAUCCCAGAAGGGUUUAAACCCGUCAAUAUUGAAUCUUAUGAUGGCAUAACAGACCCCGCGGUCUGGAUCGAGGACUAUCUCCUCCACAUCCACAUGGCCCGCGGAGACGAUGUCCACGCCAUCAAAUAUCUCCCACUCAAACUUAAAGGACCAGCCCGGCACUGGCUUAACAGCUUGCCAGCAGAGUCAAUCGGGAGUUGGGAGGACCUAGAAGCCGCAUUCCUCGAUAACUUCCAAGGCACGUACGUGCGACCACCAGAUGCAGAUGACCUAAGCCACAUAAUUCAGCAGCCAGACGAAUCGGCCAGACAAUUCUGGACACGGUUCUUAACCAAGAAAAACCAAAUCGUUGACUGUCCGGAUGCCGAGGCCCUCGCGGCCUUCAAGCAUAACAUCCGCGACGAGUGGCUUGCCCGACACCUGGGACAGGAAAAGCCGUAAUCCAUGGCAGCCCUUACAUCACUCAUGACCCGCUUCUGUGCGGGUGAGGACAGCUGGCUAGCACGCAGCAACAACCUUAACAAAAAUUCUGGCAGUCCGGAUAUCAAGGACCGUAGUGGCAGGUCGCGUCGCAACAAAAAACAAACGCCGCAUUAACGGCGAUAACAGUAAGGAUACGAUAGUCAAUGCCGGAUUCAGAGGCUCUAAACCCGGUCAACGGAAAAAGCCAUUCAAAAGAACAACUCAGGGUCCAUCCAAUUUGGACCGAAUUCUCGACCGCUUGUGCCAGAUACAUGGCACCCCUGAAAAGCCAGCUAACCACACCAAUAGGGACUGUUGGGUGUUCAAGCAGGCAGGCAAGUUAAUUGCCGAAAACAGCGACAAGGGGCUACAUAGCGACGACGAGGAAGAGACCCGACCGCCGAACAAUAGAGGAAAGAAGGGUUUCCCCCCACAGGUGCGGAUGGUGAACAUGAUAUAUGCCACGCACAUACCCAAAAGGGAGUGGAAGCGUGCACUCAGGGAUGUAUACGCGAUGGAGCCAGUUGCCUCGAAGUUCAAUCCAUGGUCCUCUUGCCCGAUCACCUUUGACCGAAGGGACCACCCCACCAGCAUUCGCCAUGGUGGGUUCGCUGCAUUGGUUCUAGACCCAAUCGUCGAUGGAUUUCAUCUCACCAGAGUCCUGAUGGACGGCGGUAGCAGCCUAAACCUGCUUUAUCAGGACACGGUGCACAAAAUGAGCAUAGACCCCUCAAGGAUUAAACCUACCAAGACGACCUUUAAAGGCGUCAUACCAGGUGUAGAAGCCAAUUGUACAGGCUCAGUUACACUCGAAGUGGUCUUCGGAUCCCCGGAUAACUUCCAAAGCGAGGAGUUAAUCUUCGACAUAGUCCCGUUCUGCAGCGGCUAUCAUGCCUUGCUUAGACAUAGCGCGUUCGCAAAGUUCAACGCGGUGCCGCACUACGCAUACCUCAAGCUCAAGAUGCCAUGCCCUAGAGGAGUCAUCACGGUCAACGGAAACACUGAACGCUCCCUCCGAACGGAGGAACAUACAGCGGCUCUCGCGGCAGAAGUACAGAGCAGCCUUUUAAGGCAAUUCUCGAGUCCGGCUGCCAAGCGGCCGGACACAGCUAAGCGUGCCUAGAGUAACCUACAACACGACCACCUGACACGUUCCGAGCACGCGUAGAAGUGCAGCCCCAACCCCAGCCCCUAUAAAACAUUAAGACAGACCCUUCGCGUACUCCAUUACGCUCUGAAGAUACCAUGGGCAUGGGGCAAGGGGCUCGACCACGAUAAGCCCAAACUGCAGCUCAACCGCACCAGGGGCUCUUAAGUGUGUCGUUUCUUUUUCUUUUCCUUUUAUUUUUUACCUACAGGACUCCGUUCGUCAGAGGCCCUGUCCGGCAGCAGACAUGCCGACCCCAUGAUACAACAGCCAGGGAAGGAGAAAGGCUAAAAAUCCAGGUGGUCUCCAUUAUGAGCAUUAAGUCUGUUUUAUGCAUUAUUCCGUAGCCUACCCCUGGAGGGGGACAUGCUAAACAGUCCCAUCCCUUGCUUACCGCACCACUUGUAUCGUCCUGCACUUACAAUAGUUUUUAUUUGAAUAAAGCAAUGCAGCACAUUUUUUGCUUCCAAUUGCAUUUCUUUCUUACACAUAUGUUCAUCUAUGACAUGUUGCAUCCGUACGUUUUGGUACGGCUAAAUACACCAGGGGCUUAUGUUUCCCGCGUUAUGGAGUGAUAAGUCCGAACACUUUCACAAGUGCGGCACCCCGAACUUAUAGCAUUAUAUGCAUCGGCUCCGAAUCAUGUUCUUGGGUCAAUAGUUGGGUUUGCUCGGCUCCCAUGUUUUGGUACCUUACGUUCCGUUUUAUCGGCUAAGGUAGCAGUGGGAGAACCACUGCGAUUGUGCCCCAGUUGAGCUGGGUUAACGCCUCAGUGGAGAAAGCUAAAACUGACCGUCAUGAUGAGGCGAGAGCUGGUCGCUGUUCGAGAGGUUCUUUGCGAGUCCUUAAAGACUUAUGCCGCUUCGAGCGAGGAGCCGGAUUCUGUCCGGCCACGGCGUGGAUAGCGCCCCAAAUUCGGCCUUCCGAAAACUAGGGGCUUCACCGAAAUUUAAAAUUAUAGAAUUCUAUGGCUAAGUGAGAGUGUUCAAGCAUUAUAAGUCCGGUUGCCUUGUUCAUUGUGUUGAGCGCCUCCCUCGAUGGACCCAAAUAUGGGAACAAGAGUGCCCAAAUUUAUCCCGAACACCCCAGCACUCGUGGCAUGGGGGCUGAAGCCGACGACUUGCCAUCUCUCAGAUUUGAUAAACAGCCGCACAGAAGGUAAUAUUUUAAAUUAACAAGUGUUGCUUCACGCAUAUGAACUUAGUUUUUAGCGCACAGGAUAACAAAAUGCGAGUCUACUCAAAAACUUCUUCUUUGGAGCACUCACCCGCAAUAAUGCGGGCGCCCUUCAGCACACUCCUAUAAUACAUCUCAGGCGUGCGAUGCUCCUUGCCCUCUGGUGGGGGGUCCGUCACAAGCUUCUGGGCAUCCAUCUUGCCCUAGUGCACCUUUGCGCGGGCAAGGGCCCGACGCGCACCCUCGAUACAGACGGAGUGCUUGAUAACUUCAACCCACGGGCACGCGUCCACCAGCCGCCGCACCAGGCCGAAGUAGCUCCCAUGCAUAGCCUCCUUAGGCCACAGCCGAACUAUGAGGCCCUUCAUGGCCUGUUCGGCCGCCUUGUGGAGCUCGACCAGCUACUUCAGCUGGUCGCUAAGGGGCACCGGAUGUCCGGCCUCAGCAUACUGAGACCAGAAGACCUUCUCCGUUGAGCUCCCCUCCUCGGCCCGGUAGAAUGCGGCAGCAUCGGACACACUGCGGGGAAGAUCUGCGAACGCUCCUGGAGAGCUUCGAAUUCGGGUAAGCGAUAGGUAAUUAACACUCACAUGCUUACUUUGCAUGAAAAAUGCCUUACCCGAUGCUAUUUUCUUCACCGCCUCUAUCUCCUGGAGGGCCUUGUUGGCUUCGGCCUUAGCGGCUUUGGCACUCUCAAGAGCCGUUGCAAGCUCAGACUCUCGAGUCUUCGAGUCACGCUCCAGGCUCUCGUGUUUCUUCAUGAGAUCCUGGAGCUCUUGUUGUACCUCCGCCACCCGCGCCUCCUGUUUCUCUCGCUCGGUGCGCUCCGCAACCGCAUUGCGUUCGGCCGCGGCCACUGCCUCUUUCAGGGUCGCCACCUUGUUCGUGGCCCCUGCAAUACCACAGUUAUCCUUGUCAUUUUUCUUGCAACCAAAUCCUUUUCUGUAAGGUACAAUUUUCAUAAGGUAUUACUCACCUUCUUUUUCCUCGAGCUGCUUCUUGGCAUGGCUGAGCUCGUUCUCGGACCGCUCGAGGUUUUCCUUCAAAGUUUUGACCUCCGCAGUCAGUGCGGCAGAGGUCAGCAGCACAGCCUGCAAUCCCAUAUUGACAUAUUUUCAUGACUCUUGCGUUUAUCUUUCUAAAGAUCCUCAGUCCGGCUUUUCUUUCCGAACACCGAACCGAGCAUCAGGGGCUACUGUCUAUGCGGUACCAUUUUACAUAUAUUGAAAUUCUUACCUCAAAGCCUGUUAGAAGGCUGCUGCAGGCUUCGGUCAGCCCAUUCUUGGCGAGCUGAACUUUCUGAAUCACCGCACUCAUAACAGUGCGGUGUUCCUCUUCAAUAGAGGCGCUAUUGAGCGCCUCUAGCAAAUUAUCCGACACCUCCGGUUGGACGGAGGCAGCCGGCGUCGCGGUCUUGCCCUUCUUACGAAAGGGUCGCCUGCCGGACUCCGGAGCCACUAUGGGUUCCGGGGCUGAGUCCGGUGCAAAGUCCGGGAGGUUGUCCUGCGACACCUCCGGGGCCCUCUCCUCCUGGUGGGUCCCUUCCUGGGAUCCCACCUUGGCAUCGUCCGCAUCACGGGGGGGUGGAUGCAGUCGGAAGAGAAUCCAUAUCCGAUGCCCCUAAGGACCCGCUCGACGAAGUGGGGAGAUCAUCCUUAGGCGGACUGCAGGGUUGUAUGCGGCAUUAGAAAGACAUAAUGUGGCGGAAAACGAAAACCUUGAAGUUAUUCGGGAGUCCGUAUACUUACGAUCUCGCCAGAGGCUUGGCCCUUGGAGGCCAGUCCUCGUCGUCGUCACUGGCGUUGGCGGCACAGUCCGGGGGAAGAGUUUUUCCCCUCUUGGACCCUUCGGCCUCCCUUGUUUGGGAGGCCUUCCUUUUCUUCCCUUCCCCCACUGGGGGAGAGGCUUUCUUCUUCUCCUCCUCGCCUUGGUGGGAGGAGUCGGCCUCGGAUUCAUCAUCCGAUAGCACCUGAAAACGGGAACUCUUCCGAGUCCCCGUGGCCUUCUUCUUGGCCUUCUUCUCCGGCACCACGUGGGGUGCCGGAGCCAGCAGCCUCGUUAGGCGGGCGUCAGCUGGGUCCUCUGGCAAUGGGGUCGGACAGAUAGCCUGUGCGGCCUUCUCCAGCCAGUCCUAUCAAAGGAAAGGGAGUUUAGAUCCCACAUAGAGUCAAACUAUGAAUAACAAGCGUCCCGUAAAGGACAAUAUCACUUACCUCGUCAGCUGGACGCUGCGAGCUGAAUCCGCGAUCUUCGGUAGCGGGUGCGGGAGCCUCGGCGCCCUUUAACAGCACCUUCCAGACCUCUUCGUGCGUAGUGUCGAAGAGCCCAUUCAAAGUCUGGUGCUGCGCCGGAUCGAACUCCCACAUGUUGAAGCCCCGUCGUUGGCACGGGAGAAUCCGGCGGAUGAGCAUGACCUGGACUACGUUGACAAGCUUGAGCUUCUUGUCCACUAGCUUCUGGAUACAGGCUUGGAGUCCGGUCAGCUCCUCCGAAUCCCCCCAGAUCCGGCCACUCUCUUUCCAGGAGGUGAGCCGUGUAGGGAUACCGGAUCUGAAUUCGGGGGCCGCUGCCCAAUCAGGGUCACGCGGCUCGGUGAUGUAGAACCACCCCGAUUGCCACCCCUUAAUGGUUUCCACAAAAGUACCCUCCAGCCACGUAACGUGGGACAUCCUGCCCACCAUGGCGCCUCCGCACUCCGCUUGGCUGCCCUUCACAACCUUCGGCUUGACACUGAAGGUCUUGAGCCACAAGCCGAAGUGGGGCUAGAUGCAGAGGAAGGCCUCGCACACGAUGAUAAACGCCAAGAUGUUGAGGAUAAAAUUCGGGGCCAGAUCAUGGAAAUCUAGGCCGUAGUAGAACAUGAGCCCCCGGACAAAGGGAUGAAGUGGGAAGCCCAGUCCGCGGAGGAAAUGGGGAAGGAAUACUACCCUCUCAUGGGGCCUAGGGGUGGGGAUGAGCUCUCCCUCGUCGGGGAGCCGAUGCACGAUGUCGCUGGACAAGUAUCCGGCGCUGCGCAGCUUCUGGAUAUGCCCCUCCGUGACGGAGGAGGCCAUCCACUUGCCUCCCGCUCCGGACAUAUUUGGAGAAGGUUGAGGUGAGAUGUGCGGGCUUGGGCGCUAGAGCUCGAGUUCGCGGAGAUGGAUAAGCCAAGGAGGAAGAAGGCGUAGGUAAAAGGAUUGGAUCUUUAUCCCCUUAUAUGGGCGGACGGAAACAUGCGUCCCCACCGGCCUGAUAAAACUCGCUUAUAUCCCAAGCGCCGCAAUCAAUGGCGCGGUUGGGUUACCCACGUCCAUAUUGAUGGGAAUCCUGGAAUAAGGGGAACACGAUCUCUGCUUCGACAAGACGUGCCAAGGAAACCGCCUCGCUAAACACGCUGAGAUGGAACAAUAAAAACAAUUUGAAGGCUUGGUAGUGGUGUGACGUUAUGCCACAAAACACGUCAGCAGAUUGAACUUGUGUAAUAUUAUUCUCUCUACGGUUGUAUGUGGAAUUUAUUUUGCAGAGCCGGACACUAUCCUGGUGUUCACAAUCUUCUAUAAAUUAUUCGGAGGAGGAACCCGCCUUGCAAUGCCGAAGACAACAUGCGCGCCGGACUCGUUGUUAUUGAAGCCUGGUUCAGGGGCUACUGAGGGAGUCCCGGACUAGGGGGUGUCCGGAUACCCGAACUACCAUCAUCGGCCGGACUCCAAGACUAUGAAGAUACAAGAUUGAAGACUUUGUCCCGUGUCCGGAUGGGACUUUCCUUGGCGUGGAAGGCAAGCUUGGCGAUACGGAUAUGUAGAUCUCCUACCUUUGUAACCGACUCUGUGUAACCCUAGCCCUCUCCGGUGUCUAUAUAAACCAGAUGGCUUUAGUCCGUAGGACGAACAACAAUCAUACCAUAGGCUAGCUUCUAGGGUUUAGCCUCCUUGAUCUCGUGGUAGAUCUACUCUUGUAACCCACAUCAUCAAUAUUAAUCAAGUAGGACGUAGGGUUUUACCUCCAUCGAGAGGGUCCGAACCUGGGUAAAAACAUCGUGUCCCUCGUCUCCUGUUACCAUCCGCCUAGACGCACAGUUCGGGACCCCCUACCCGAGAUCCGCCGGUUCUGACACCGACAGGUACUCAUAGCAAGACAUACAUAAAGUGUUCUCAAAUCCAUAUAAGUAUUCAAUCCGAUAAGAAUGAAAUCUCAAAGGGAAAACUCAAUUGACAACAAGAUAGAGAGGGGAAAACACCAUAUGAUCCAACUAUAUUAACAAAGCCCGCGAUACAUCAAGAUCGUGACAUCUCAAGAACACGAGAGAGAGAGAGAGAGAGAGAGAGAGAGAGAGAGAGAGAGAUUAAACACAUACCUACCAGUACAAACCCUCAACCCCGAGGGUGGACUACUCCCUCCUCAUCAUGAUGGCUGCCAGGAUGAUGAAGAUGGCCACCGGUGAUGAUUUCCCCCUCCGGCGGAGUGCCAUAACAGGGUCUAGAUUGGUUUUUCAUGGAUAUAGAGGCUUGCAGCGGCGGAACUUCUGAUCUAGGGUUAUUUCUAAUGGUUUCUCUAUAUAUAGGAUUUUUCAAUGUUGGAAUCACGCAAAGAUCGGCCUCGAGGUGGGCACAACCCACCUGGGCACGCCUAGGUGUAUUUUCCUCACCUCCUUCACCUUCUGGUCCUCCCACGAAGCUUCCAGUGCCUCUUCUGUUCCAAAAAAAAACCGUCACAAAGUUUUGUUGCAUUUGGAGAACUUCUAUUUCUGCACAAAAAACAACACGAUGGUAGUUCGGCUGAAAACAACAUCAGUCCGGGUUAGUUCCAUCCAAAUCAUACCAAAACCAUAUAAAAUUGUUGUAAACAUGGCAUGAAUACUUCAUAAAUUAUAGAUAUGUUGGAGACGUAUCAGUACUCACGCGGUCACCGCAUGCACUGGUGCAACACGGUGCACCAAGGAGGCCAGACCGUGUCUGGGCUCAAGCCCCUUCAACACUAGGUCGGUUUGUGGUCUUGGUUCACUACCAGGUCAAUCAGACAAGAUGUGAGAGAGUUGGCAAGUUUCUAGCCAGAAACUGUUGUAGCAUUUUGUGAAAAAACUACAAAAAGAUAAGAGCUGAUACUUGGAGGCUAAGGUUAGGGUUGGAAGGUAGUCAUACCACAAAUUUUUCAGCUCAAAUGGAGCUAGCAAAAAUGCACUUCCUUCACAAAGUGCCCUUGCUGUCCAGAAUAGGAAAUAUUUUCUUGAGCCAAAAUUCUAUUCAUGACUAUGGGAUAUUUUUGCAUAGGAAGGUGAGACAUGACCUAAAUAAUAUUAGGGAAUUUAUUUAGAUUUUUUGAGCAAUAAAAAUGAGGGUUGCUUUGGAUCAUAAGUGAAAAAUAUUCAUUUUUUCAGAAGGAAAAUGAAUAUUAUGCCAUUGAAUAAAGAAUUUCCAUGGCAUUAUUUUGUGAGAGAUGAUGUCUAGAGAUGGUUUGAGAGUGCUAGGAGUCACUUGGGAGGAAGCCAAAACAAUUCCCAAGUGUUAAGUCCAAAUGAGUUAAUUCAAAAAGUCAAUUUCAAACCAAAUAUUCAAUAAAACUCAUAAAAAGGGAAAUGACAAAAACCAGGGUGUCACAAAGCUCCCCCUUAGGAUGAAUCUAGUCCUCGAGAUUCGGUUGCUCAGGAAACAAUUCAGGUAUUCAGUCCUUAAAAGGUCCUCUCUUUCCCAGGUAGCUUCAUUCUCUGUAUGAUGUUCCCACUACACUUUGUCAAACUUGACUGACUUGCUGUGGGUGACUCUUUGCAUCUCAUCCAAUAUCCGAAAGGGUUUCUCCUCAUAAGUAAGAUCCCGAGGAAGCUCUAUUUCUGCCAUAUCAGUUCAUUUCUCUGGUGGUGAGAUACACUCUCCCAACCAUGACAUGUGAAAGACAUCAUGCACUUCGGACAACUCGGGUGGAAGUUCCAGUUGAUAUGCCACUGCACCAACCUUGGACAUGACGGGAAAUGGGCCAAUGUACCUUGGUGCAAGAUUUCCUAAAGUCUGAAAUCUUUUGACUCCUUUCAUGGGCGUGACUUGAAGAUAGGCAUAGGCGCUUGGUUCAAAACUGACCUGUUGGUGUUUGGAAGCAUAGUAGCUCUUUUGUCGCGACUUGGCUACUUGAAGUCUGUCCCAGAUUUCUCUUACUUGCUUUUCAGAUUCCAUCAUCAAAUCAGUCCCGAAUUUGUGGCUAUGUCCUGUCUGAGACCAGUUUAGAGGAGUAUGACAUUUGCAUCCAUACAGGGCUUCAUAUGGUGACAUCUUGAGACUGGUCUGAUAGCUGUUGUUGUAGGAAAACUCCACAUAUGGCAAACUGUCUUUCCACUUAGGCCCUUGAGCAAGUGCACAUGCUCGAAGCAUGUCUUCGUAUAUCUGAUUUACUCGUUCAGACUGACCAUCUGUCUGAGGAUGAUGAGCAGUACUGUACCUCAGAGCAGUUCCCAAAGCUUUUAUGAAGACGUGACCAGAAUGCCAAGGUAAAAAGAGAUCCUCGGUCGAAGGUGAUGGUUCUUGGAACUCCAUGCAAACUAACGAUCCAGGACACAUAGAGUUGACCAAGUUGAUCUGCUCGAUACGUGGUCUUGAUUGGAAUGAAGUGGGCUACUUUGGUCAACAUGUCCAUGAUGUCUGCUAGAACUACGUCGGUAUUUCCCCAAAGAGGAAGGGAUGAUGCAGUAUAGCGAUGGUAGGUAUUUCCCUCAGUGAUGAGACCAAGGUUAUCCAACCAGUAGGAGAACCUCCUCACACCACGUAAACAACACCUGCACACAAAUAACAAAUACUCGCAACCCGACGUGUUAAAGGGGUUGUCAAUCCCUUUCGGGUACGGCGCCUCAAGAUAGGCAAAUAACGUGAGCUAUAAGUGGUAGAUAGGAUAAAUAGAUCACGGAACAAAUAAAUUAUAGCAAGGUAUUUUUGUAUUUUUGGUUUAAUAGAUCUUAAAAUAAAUGCAAAGGAAAAUAGAUCGCAAAGGCAAAUAUUAUGAAAAGAGACCCCGGGGUCGUAGGUUUCACUAGUGGCUUCUCUCGAGAAAAAUAGCAAAUGGUGGGAAAACAAUUACUGUUGGGCAAUUGAUAUAACUUCAAAUAAUAAUGACGAUAUCCAGGCAAUGAUAAUUACAUAGGCAUCAUGUCCAAGAUUAGGAAACCAACUCCUGCCUGCAUCUACUAUUAUUACUCCACACAUCGACCGCUAUCCAGCAUGCAUCUAGUGUAUUAAGUUCAUGGAGAAACGGAGUAAUGCAAUAAGAACGAUGACAUGAUGUAGAAAAAUCUAUUUAUGUAGAAAUAGACCCCAUCUUGUUAUCCUUAAUAGCAACGACACAUACAUGUCAUUUCCCUUUCUGUCACUGGGAUCAAGCACCGUAAGAUCAAACCCAUCACAAAGCACCUCUUCCCAUUGCAAGAUAAAUAGAUCAAGUUGGCCAAACAAAACCCAAAUAUCGGAGAAGAAAUACGAGGCUAUAAUCAAUCAUGCAUAUAAGAGAUCAAAGAAGACUCAAAUAAAUUUUAUGGAUAAAAACAUAGAUCUGAUCAUAAACUCAAAGUUCAUCAGAUCCCAACAAACACAUCGCAAAAAGACUUACAUCAUAUGGAUCUCCAAGAGACCAUUUAUUGAUAAUCAAGAGAGAGAGGAAGCCAUCUACUCCCUUCAUCCCAUAAUGUAAGCCGUUUUUGCAAGCUAUGUUAGCUUGCAAAAAUGUCUUACAUUAUGGGAGGGAGGGAGUAGCUACUAACUACGGACCCAUAGGUCUACAAAGAACUACUCACGCAUCAUCGGAGAGGCACCAAUGGACAUGAUGAACCCCUUUGAGAUGGUGUCUAGAUUGGAUCUUGUGUUUCUGUACUCUGCGGCGGUUGGAAUUGAUUUUUGUCGACCCCCCUAGGGUUUUUGGAAUAUUGGGGUAUUUAUAGAGCAAAGAGGCGGUUCAGGGGACACCCGAGGUGGGCACAACCCACCGGGGCACGCCUGGGCCCCCAGGCGCUCCCUGGUGGAGUGGUGGGUUGUGCUCCCCUCGGAACACCCCCUAGGUGCUUUCGUGGCCCAUUGGAUGUCUUCUGGCCCAAAAAAAAUCCACAAAAAGUUAUGCUGCGUUUGGACUCCGUUUGAUAUUGAUUUCCUGCGAUGUUAAAAAAUGCAGAAAACAGCAACUGGCACUACGCACUAUGUUAAUAGGUUAGUACCAAAAAUGAUAUAAAAUGACCAUAAAAUGAUUGUAAAACAUCCAAGAAUGAUAAUAUAACAACAUGGAACAAUCAAAAAUUAUAGAUACGUUGAAGACGUAUCAGUGCACCACAAUCCAUAUGACAUUGUUGCCUCAAGAAGUUUUGUGGAGUCCCGUGCUGAAAUCCAUGUGGACAUCGUCCCAUUUCCAUUGCGGGACGGGUAAUGGUUGAAGUAGCCCAGCGGGUUUCUGAUGUUCUGCCUUUACUUUGUUGCAUAUGUCACAAUAGGCGAUAAAAUAUGCAAUUUCCUUCUUCAUUCCAUCCCACCGAAAUAUUUGCCUAAGGUCUUCAUACAUUUUGGUACCAUCAGGAUGGAUUGAGUAUGAAGAUUCGUGCGCCUCCUUUAAUAUCUUUUGUCUCAUAUCUCAAGUGUUCGGUAUACAAAUUCGCCCUCGAUACCUCAAAGUAUCUUGAUCAUCUACUAGGAAAUCUUUAGGCUUGCUGGCUUGUACUCGAGUGACAUGUCAUUGCAAUAACGGGUCCUCUGCUUGGUCCAAGCAGACUUCUUCUUCCAGGAUAGGCAUGACUUCUAGAGUAGCGGUGCAGACGGACUCAAUAAUGGUCAAGUUUUCUUCUUGUAACUUGGGAGGCAAGGAUUCCAUUAAUGAGUUUAAUGUGGCUGGUUUGCAGGUGAGAGCAUCAACAACCACAUUAGUUUUACCCGGGUGAUAAUUGAUAACGAGGUCAUAAUAUUUAGCCAACUCAAGCCAUCUUAUCUGCCGGAGAUUCAAGUCUGGUUGAGUGAAUACACACUUGAGGCUUUUAUGAUCAGUGAAAAUUUGGCAUCGCUUGCCGAUUAUAUAAUGCCUCCAAAUUUUGAAGGCAUGCACAACUACCACUAACUACAAGUCAUGAGAAGGAUAGUUUCCUUCAUGGGGUCGUAGCUGUCGGGAUUCAUAGGCCACGACCUUGCCAUCUUGCAUGAGUAUGCACCCUCACUGGUACAGCGAGGUUCUAUACAAACGAUUUUUAUCCCCUUCGGUGAUGGUGUUUUGAACCGUCGCCAAGUGAGUGACUGCGAGAGGGGGGUCCUUCCCACACGACCCAGAGAUCAUGAGGCAUAGGCCCUCCAGUCAGACACGCUCGGCAAAGUGAGGUCGGGUGUGACGGGUGAGCGAUCAAUUAUGGUUAUACAUACAGUUGUGCUAAAAAGUACAAUUAUACAUGCCAAAUCGUUUCCGAUCAUAAGUACAUCCCACACAGUCAGUCCCGGCUAGACAUUUCUGUUCGUAUGUACAUUGCACACAGUCAAUCCAAGGAGUACGUUUCCGUUAUUAUUGUCGGCGUUCUGGGAACCAGGGUACUCAGACCUGCCUUCCUGCGACCCAUGACGUGGCUUCAUCGACGGCUUGGUACGGCCCAACUUCGACUAUGGCAAGACAAGACCCUCGCGAGGGGCCAAGCCUCGCGAGGCGGGCGACAUCAAGACCUCCCGAGGGAGCGGCCUCAUCGUGCGGCCUCCCGAGUGGAGCAGAGAUUUGUAUGCAGGACUGGCCUCAUGAGGCUGGAAUGACAUCUGCCAUGACGAGCAAGGCCAGGCACGUGCCAGUAGGCGCAAUCUAGCAGGUUUCCUCUUUGGUGCAAAGGGAGCAAGCGCAGGUGUGGAGUCCCAAGGAAUUAGCCAAAGGUUGCUAUUUGCGUGCAACGAGACCAAGACCGCCAGAACGGUAGGAUGGAUGUCAUUGCCGAGCCCACCACGAUGUCACGCUAAGAGGCUUUGCAGGCGAAGACCACCUUUCGUCAGGAUUAGAUGUACCUCUUGUUCCCCUUCAAAUUUGGCCGUUGUGGGAUCCCUUCCCGCCUAAGUUUUGGAGGAGGAGGACCAAGGCCACUAUAAAUAGAGCCCAGCCACCACCGUAGAGAUGGGUCGAUCGAUCGACUCAUUUGGUGAUCAGCUCAUCAAACCACCGAGAGCUCAUCACAAGAACACGCCUCCUGAGGCUGUUCUUCCACUUGUACUAGUUCAUCCUCAGCCCCUCGCGAGGCAAAUCCAUCACAAAGCAGGAGUAGUGUAUUACACCGCAAGGUGACCCGAACCUGGGUAAGCUGUUGUCUCUGUCGUGUUCAUCGAGCUAGGUCAUGAGAGCAGCGGAUCGAGAGGCUUGAGAGGUCAAGUUCUUUGCACACACCCCUGAGUUCGAACUUCUCUUAGGUCUACGGAGCCCAGAAUCCGACAUCUCGCGCACCAGGUAGGGGGCGUGUCGGAGGUCGGCCUCUUCAUCAACCAUGCUCCGCCUCGCCGUUCCUCCAUGGCGGGCACUGCUCCUUCUGCUGGACCACCGGGCGCGUUCAGAGGCGAUGCGGGUCUCCGAGCCUUUUUCCCCCACCUUGCGACAGGUGUAGUGGCCUCCGAAGUUCAGGCCGGAGCUGCCGCUGCGCUAUGAUGGCGCGGCGGACCCUAUGGGGUUCCUCCAGGCGUAUGAGGAGGCCAUAUGGGAAGCGGGCAGAGAUGACAAGGUCAUGGCCAAUUGGCUCCCCAUGGUGCUCGCGGGCAUGCCACGCACCUGGCUGCUCAGCUUACCAGAGUCUUCGGUAGCUUCAUGGGAGGAGCUGCGCGGGUUAUCCGCCGCACGCUUUGCGGUUCCGGCGCACCACGCCGUCGCCGCCAUCCUCGACGGGUCGCAGGCGUCAGCUUCAGACCGCCACACCAAGCAGUUCUUCCGUCAGAUGGGGCUCCUCCAUCCCUGCGAGGGGCCCCUCCGGGCUGGGUGACACCCCAGGCUGACCUCACCUUCAACGCCAGAGAUCACCCCAAGACCACGGCUGGCGCAGGCACGUUGCCCAUGCGCUACACCCUACCAUCUGCAACGUGGUGGUCACCAGGACCCUCAUCAAUGGCGGCGCCGGACUCAACAUCCUCUUCGUGGAGGCGUUUAGCCUGCUCCGCGUGCCUCACGACCGGCUUCUCCCCACCAAGCUGUUUUCCAGAGUGGUCGGCGGCUCCACCUGCCCCGUGUGGCAGAUUCGUCUCCCUGUCACCUUAGGGACGCGUGGCAACUACCGCACCAAGCUCAUCAAUUUCAACAUCGUGCACAUCAGGCUCCCGUACAACACCAUCCUUGGGUACCCGGCCCUUGCCAAGUUCAUGGCAGUGACUCACCCUGGCUACAACAUCAUGAAGAUGCCAGGGAGCAGUGACGUCCUCAUCAUGCCAGGAGACACUAGAGAUGCGCUGGCAGCCCUCAAGAUCGCCUUUAAGGCCAUGGCAGCCGCACAGCCAAGUGCGGAGGGCGCUCCGGAGGGCCCAGGGGCUGCCCCGGCGAAGAAGAAGCCGUUGUUUUCCCAAGACCGAGCCGAGACAAAGCAAGUACCGGUCGACGAAGACGGGAAGUCAGGAGCCACAUUCACCAUAGGCGCUGGCCUCCCCCGAGACCAAGAGGAGGCGCUGGUCGGCUUCCUCCGUGUGAAUAAGGAUGUGUUCGCAUGGCAAGCAAUGGACCUCGUAGGCGUCCCGCGGGGGGUGAUCGAACACCACCUCAGGGUGUGCCCCCAUGCUCUCCCCAUGAAGAAAAAGGUGUGGCACCAAGCCUCGGAGAAGCAAUCGUUCAUCGUCCAGGAGACCCGCAAGCUACAGGAGGCUAGUGUUAUCCGGGAAGUGCGCCACCUGGAGUGGUUGGCGAACCCAGUCAUCGUCCCCAAGAAGGGCAGGAAAGAGCGCAUGUGCGUUGACUUCAUGAGCCUGAACAAAGCUUGUCCUCAAGAUCCAUUUCCCCUUCCUCGUAUCGACCAGAUCAUCGACUCCACAGCUGAGUGCGACCUGCUGUGCUUCUUGGACGCCUUCUCAGGCUACCAUCAGAUCAAGAUGGUGGUGGAAGAUAUAAAGAAGACGGCCUUCCUGACUCCAUGUGUGGUGUAUUACUACACAUGCAUGUUGUUCGGGUUGCACAAUGCCGGAGCAACUUUCCAGCGGUUGAUGCACAUUGCCUUGGGCAAGUAGCUUGGAAGAAAUGUGGAGGCUUAUGUUGAUGAUAUAGUGGUCAAGUCCCGGGAGGCCAGAACCCUUGUUGAAGAUCUGGAGGAGACGUUCGCCAACCUGCGCGAAGUGAAGUUAGAAGUGCGUAUUCGGUGUCCUGUCAGGUAAGCUGCUGGGGUUCUUGGUGUCACACAGAGGAAUUGAGGCCAACCCGGAGAAGGUCAAGGCAAUAGAAAGGAUGAGCCCACCUCAGACUCUCAAGGAGAUGCAGAAGCUGGCAGGCUGCAUGACCUCAGUUGGGUGCUUCAUCACCAAGCUAGGCGAGUGUGCCCUCCCGUUCUUCAAGCUAAUGAAGAGGAAGGUCCCGUUCGAAUGGACUCCAGAAGCUGACGUGGCAUUCCAAGACCUCAAGAGGUACCUCACCAGCCCACCCGUGAUGGUGGCGCCUCGUCCUCUCGAGCCUCUGAUGCUUUACCUGGCCGCCAUGCCGCACUCAGCCAGCGCGACACUAGUGGCGAUCCACGAGGAGCAUGCAGCUAAGGGUGUGCAACGCGGAGUCGCACGCCCAUCCAAGGCACUGCGACCUCAGGACGGCGCACCUAAGACCGCGGCUCAACCAUCAGGAGACGGGGUCCCUGAGGUCACGACCCCUGAGGCUGCAAUGGCCCCUCCUGAGGGUGGACCUCCUAAGGCUACAUCACCCCAAGAGGAGCAAGACUCGGCAGACAAUUCCUCCCUCGUCGAGCAUCUUGUCUACUUCGUCAGCACCGUACUACGUGACACGCGAGCGCGUUACCCCAUGCCGCAGAAGGUCCUCUUGGCACUCCUCGUCGCCUCUAGAAAGCUGCACCACUACUUCCAAGGCCACCCUAUCAAGGUUGUCUUGGCCUACCCCCUGAAGAGGGUGAUCCGAAGCCCCAACGCCGCAGGAAGAGUUGCCGAGUGGAACAUCGAGUUGCAGGCGUUCCAGCUUGAGUUCAGCACCACCCGAGUCAUCAAGGGCGCAACCCUCACCGACUUUGUGGCUGAAUGGACUGACUCACCAAGUCAAGAAGUGGGUGAGGACCGCUCCCUCGUCCCAGGAGAUGAAGCGCCCGACAGUUGGGUCAUGUACUUUGAUGGUGCGUUCAUGCGUCAGGGCGCGGGGGCUGGAGCCGUGCUCAUCUCGCCCACCCAAGACAAGCUCUACUACGCCGUGCAGCUCUGCUUCCAGCACGACAAGAAGGUCUCUAACAACAUUGCCGAAUUCGAGGACCUGAUCGCCGGGCUCAGGGCUGUGGUAGCCGUGGGAGUCAGGCGCCUUACCAUCAGGGGCGACUCCUAGCUCCUCAUCAACUUCGCCAACAAAGAGUACAUGCCAAAGGACGAGCACAUGGAGGCAUACCUCGAGGAGGUACAUAAAAUUGAGAAGCAAUUUUUAGGUUUGGAACUGCAGCACGUGCCACGCGGCACGAACAAGGAGGCCGACGACAUAACCAAGAGGGCGUCCUGGCGCCUCCCCCAGGAGCCUGGCGUCUUUGAGGAGCAGCUCUUCAAGCCGUCAGCGGUUCCUCCUGUGGCUAAGCCCACACCACCUCGGGAGGAACUGCCCGCGACAUCGAUCACGGGCGCCCCAACCUGUGGCCCGGCCUCAGGGGCCCAUCUACUCCUCGCGCUCGAGCCUCAGGAGGGGUGCUAGACCAAGGAGUUCAAGGCGUACCUGCUUCAGGGCACCCUGCCAGAGAAUGAAGAGGAUGCCGAGUGGGUGGCUCGCCAGGCCACUGCAUACUGCAUCCAGGACGGCGAGCUCUACCGAAGGCGCCCAAACGACAUCUCACUGCGGUGCAUCUCCAAGGAGCAGGGGUGCGAGUUGCUAGCCAAUAUCCAUAGUGGGGAUUGUGGGCAUCACUCUUCAUCAUGCACCCUAGUGGGCAAGGCCCUCCGCAGCGGGUUCUACUGGCCUGCAACGCUCAACGACGCCACCGAGUUGGUAAGAUCUUGUGAGGACUGUCACUUCCAUGCUAAGCAGAUCCAUCAGCCUGCUCAAGGCCUCCAGACCAUCCCGCUCUCGUGUCCGUUCGCGGUUUGGGGGCUGGACAUCUUGGGCUCGUUUCCUCGAGCACCCAGGGGCUAUCGCCACCUCUACGUCCCAUCGACAAGUUCACCAAGUGGGCGGAAGUGGAAGCUGUCCGCACAAUCCUAGCUGGCUCUGCAGUCAAGUUCAUCAAGGGCCUCGUAAGCCUCUUUGGGGUGCCCAGCCGCAUCAUCACCGACAACGGCUCCCAGUUCACGAGCAACCUCUUUAAAACAUAUUGUGCUAUCCUUGGGACGCAGAUAUGUUACGCUUCGGUGGCGCACCCGCGGAGCAAUGGCCAGGCCGAGCAUGCCAAUGUGGAGGUACCGAGGGGCCUCAAGGCAAGGAGCUUCAAGAAGAAGCUCGAGGCUUGCGGCAGGGGCUGGCUCGACGAGCUUCCGUCCGUGCUAUGGUCCAUCCGCACCACCGCGACCAAGCCUAUAGGCGAGACCCCGUUCUUCCUCGUCUACGGAGCCGAGGCGGUCCUCCCUCACGAGGUCAGGCAUCGCUCCCCGCGGGUCCUGGCAUUCGACGAGACGCCACGCAGGAGGUGGACCUCGUGCUGGGGGAGGAACGUCGUCGCCAUGCCUCGCUCCGAGUUGCGAGGUACCAACAGGCGCUGCUGCGCUACCACUGCCGCAACAUCUGUUCCAGGACCCUUGAGGUGGGCGACAUCGUCCUGAGGCGGGUGCUCUCCAGGGAAGGGCUUCACAAGCUCAACCCCAUGUGGGAGGGCUCGUGGAGAAGGUAGAUUUUGCAGGGCUGGAAUUGGGGCCGCCAGAUAUUUCAAUCCAAAACAUGGAAGCGCGAACUUAUUUUUUCGUCGUCCUUUUUUUGGGGGGAGGGGGAGGGAGGGAGGGGUGGGUGGCUGGGUGCUAAGCGUCUGUCCGACACAGGCGACCACCACGUCACGACCCUGGUCUGCCUGGUGCGCCUACAUUUGAGAAUGCAAACGAAUCUUCUUUCAUUUGCAAACAAAUCUGUAUGUAUUACCAUGCCCGUGUUUUCCUUGCAAAUAAUCAGUCAUUCAAACCGAGAUACUGUAAAUUAUUUAAUGAGGAGUUAUUUGAAAAAAAUCGAAACGGUAUCCAUGCUAACAUGGAUUAGAGUGUGUGUCACAUAAUUAGUUAUUUGAAUUAGAGUGUGUGUGUCACAUAGCGAUCUCCAAUUCUAAUGUGGAUUUCGCAUUUCACUGUAUCCAUGCUACUUUUUAAUACAAAUUCAUAUGUAUAUGAUGAACACCAUGGUAGUGAGAAAACUUUUGGAUGGAUUCAAACAUAUGACCUACAAAAUAGCACAACAAAUCGAGUCAAUCUCAACUUUUCGAAACCUAGUAUGGCACGAAUUCGAAAUAAUUACCCAUAUACAUGGUCCUCAAUUCAAAUCUUACAAUGUACACCGAAUUGAAACAUCGAUAUUAGGUGCUCCCCGUAGCUUAAUUACCCGCUACGGUGAUACGAGCAUCUAGGUCAUAUGAUCAGUGAUCAGAUGGCACAUGCGUAGUACUUGUACUUUCUACACAAUUCCCAAACUCUCUCACUCGUAUAUUGCAAAAACAUUCGAACCUCCUACUGUGGGCCGUUAGAUCUCUGUGAACUCAUAUCACCAUAGAAUCUAUAGUGCGGGAGCACCUCAUAUUCUCCCAUGCGAGAAAACAUAAGGUGCUCUCGCAGCUUGGAUGCUACGGUGAUAUGAGCUUCGAGGUCAUUUGAUCUGCGAUCCAAUGGCAUCUAAGCAGUUUUUGUGCUUGUAAACAGUGGCUGAAAUCUUUGGGGGCUUUUCUGCAAAAAAACAUUUGAACCACCGAGGAGUUGUUGGGUCAAAAAUCCAACGGCUCCGAAGAGCUUGUAUCACCAAAGCAUCUAAGGUGUGGUAGCACAUGAUAUUCUUACAUACAGGAGAAUAUGAUGUCCUCCUUCAUCUUAGAUGCUACGGUGAUACGAGCUUCGAGGUUGUUGGAUAUGGGAUCCAAGGGCAUCUAAGUAGUUUUUGUACAAAUUGUGUGCAAUUCUCAAACUCAUCAAGGUUUCCUGUAAAAAUAUUAAGACAUCAUGUGAGCUUCUAUAUCUCAGAUCUACAAGCUCCAAGCAACUCGUAUCGGCAUAUAGCAUCUAAGGUAUGGGGGCACAUGAUAUUCUCCCAGGGAGGAGGGGUGGGGGUGCACAACCAAUCGGUGUUUGGGAGGGUGGGGACAAAUAUAAUCUAAAUAACCCUAAACAGAGCUUCACAAUUUUACCUAAGGUCGAGGGGUUAACCCCCGACAAUCUACAUAGCUCCGCCUAAACACAACAUUUGCAUGUACUGUAGUACUAGACUUAGUAAUCAUGUUUCAAUUUCCUAUUCAUUUUAAAUAUUGAAUUGAGGACCAUGCAUGUCUUACAUUUUACUCCCUUCGUUCCUAAAUAUUAGUCUUUUUAGAGAUUUCAAAUGGAUUGGCACAUACGGAUGUAUAUAGACAUAUUUUAGAGUGUAGAUUCACUCAUUUUGCCCCGUAUGUAGUCACUUGUUGAAAUCUCUAAAAGACUAUACUUAUUGGAUUGUUGUUGUGUUCGUGGGUGCGUGUGUGUGUGUGUGUGCGUGCGCACGCGUCUGUGUGUGGUCAUAUGCUUGAUACAUACAAAGUUUUCUCACCACCAUAUUGUUCAUCUUUUAAAUUUGAAUUUGCAAUGCAAAACUUACUAGUGAUACCAUGAAAUGUGAAAUCCACGUUGACAUCACUAUAUCACAAACUCACUCUAAUUCAAGAACGCGUCAUAAAUCAAUUACCACCUUGAGAUUAGUGUUUGCAAGGAAAAUACGGGCAUUGUAAUACACAUUGAUUCGUUCGGCAAUUUAAAAGAUUCCUUUCGUAUUCUCGAAUGGUAGGACCCAAAGGCGUACCAGACAGACCUUGGCUCGUGUUGAUCCUAAAAAAAACCAGGCUCAUGUCCUUCUGGUGGCGUGCGUGGUACGCACAUUAGGCAACCCCAACCAGUCGAGCCUCCACGUUUGGAGUCGAAAUAUCUGGCGGCCAGAAUUCCAGCCCUAGGAAAUUCCCCUCAUGUCCCCGGUCCAUUAUGACUACCGAUGAACAAUGGAGGGAUGCUUUAGUAACUAGACAACGUUACCUACCGUGCCGAGCAUGGUUCAAUUCCCUCGGUCGCCACUCCCAAGGCCACCCGUCAAUUGCAUUGCCUAGUACUACUACUACUACACCAGGAUGAGCAUAAAAUUGAGCCCGUUUGUUCGUGCCUAGUACUUGAGUUAAUAUAUUAGGCAAUGCACUGGUACGGAGGGAUUAUCCUUUUACUCUGCAUAUAUAACUUGUCUGAAGUCUAACUAAGCAAAAUGUUUGACCAAAUCCUUUCUUAAGAAAUACAACAAGACAGAUGUAUGGCUUGAAAAUUUAUUGCAUGAUGCAGGUUAUGAUAUUGUUUCGAAUCCUGGAUUAUAAAUUUCAGGAAAUCCAAAAGUGACCAGAAAUUCAUGAAACUGAGCAUGGUCACGUGAUAUGGCACAAAUAUUCCUUCAUAAUUUUUUUCUUCAAUUUGGGACAAGCUGCUUAUGACAAGUUGCACAAAUGAAGAUCCAAGGUAUUUUGGAACAAAGACCUAUCACGUUAAGGCGAACGCUUUCACUAUUGAAACCACGGGCGUUUACGUGCCGCCACGAGUCCCGCUUCUCAUCGGCAGGUGCCAUCCGAGCAAGUGUGUGAGUCAACGGGAGGCGUGCGAGUAGACCACUACGUCGGCUGACAGGGAGGCGUGUGAGCAGACCGCUGUGCAGGCUCACCGGGAGGCGAGUGUCGGUGUCAAAACCGGCGGAUCUCGGGUAGGGGGUCCCAAACUGUGUGUCUAAGGCUAAUGGUAACAGGAGGCAUGGGACACGAUGUUUUACCCAGGUUCGGGCCCUCUCGAUGGAGGUAAUACCCUACUUUUUGCUUGAUUGAUCUUGAUGAUAUGAGUAUUACAAGAGUUGAUCUACCACAAGAUCGUAGAGGCAAACCCUAGAAGCUAGCCUAUGAUUAUGAUUGUUCUUGUCCUACGGACUAAACCCGCCGGUUUAUAUAGACACUGGAUGGGGAUAGGGUUACACAGAGUCGGUUACAGAGAAGGGAAUCUACAUAUCUGAAUAUCCAAGCUUGCCUUCCACGCAAAGGAGAGUCCCAUCCGGACACGGGACGAAGUCUUCAAUCUUGUAUCUUCAUAGUCCAACAGUCUGGCCAAAGUAUAUAGUCCGGCUGUCCGAGGACCCCUUAAUCCAGGACUCCCUCAGUAUCCCCUGAACCAGGCUUCAAUGACGAUGAGUCCGACGUGCAUAUUGUCUUCGGCAUUGCAAGGCGGGUUCCUUCUCCGAAUACUCCAUAAGAGAUUUAGAACACAAGGAUCGUGUCCGGCUCUGCAAAAUGAAUUCCACAUUCCACCGUAGAGAGUAUAAUAUUCCACAAAUCUAAUCCGCUGACAUCUUUUUAUAGCAUGACAUCACACCACGGUUCAGUCAUUAUUCGAACCAUUUUUCACAACCUGCUACCGCACGACACGUCUUGUCGAAGCAGAGAUCGUGUCCCCUUAUCACGGGAUUCUCAUCAAUACGGGUAUGGGUAACCCAACCGCACCAUCAAUCGCGGUGCUUGGGAAAUAAGCGAUCUUAACGGGCAAGUGGGGAGGCGCACCGUUUCUAUCGCCUUUAUAAAGAGAUAAGGAUUCUCCUCUUUCACCCACACCUACUUCCUUCCUCGCUCAUCCAUUCUCGCAUGCUCGAGCUCCAGCGCCCUAGUUCUCACCUUCUCCGCAUAGCCAAACAUGUCCGGAGUGGGAGGCAAGUGGGUGGCCUCCUCCGUCAAGGAGGAGGACAUUACGAAACUCCGGGCGGCCAGAUACUUGGCCGCGGAUAUUGCGCACCGGCUCCCGAACGCAUGGCAGAUCAUUCCGACUCCGGUACCCCAUGAGAGGGUCGUGUUCCUCGCCCACUUCAUCUGUGGACUGGGAUUCCCCCUCCACCCAUUUGUCUGCGGGCUCUUGUUCUAUUACGGGCUGGAUUUUCAAGAUCUAGCCCCUAACUUCAUCCUCAGCAUCUCGGCGUUUAUCAUCAUGUGCGAGGCUUUUCUCCGCAUCAGGCUCCACUUUGGCCUGUGGCUAAAAAUAUUCAACGUGAAGCCGAAGAUAGUGGUCGGCCAGCAGGCGGAGUGUGACGGUGCCAUGGUGGGCAAGAUGCCCAGCGUCACCUGGCUCGAAGGCUCCUUUGCAGAGACCGUGAAGGGGUGGAAAUUGGGGUGGUUCUACAUCACCGAGCCGCGUGACGCCAACUGGGUGGCGGCCCCCGAAUUCCGAUCCGGCAUCCCUGUGCGGCUCACUUCCUGGAAGAAGAAGGGCCUAGCCUGGGGCGCAUCCGCAGAGCUGACCGGACUCCAGAACUGCGUCAAGAACAUGAUAACCAAGAAUAUCAAGCUUGUCAAUGUGGUCCAGGUCAUGCUAUUUCGCCGGAUUCUCCCGUGUCAAAGACGGGCAUUCAACCUGUGGGAGUUUGACGCGACCCAACACCAGACACUGCAAGAGCUCUUUGACACGACACACAAGGACGUCUGGAAGGUGUUGUUCAAGUCCAGCAAAGUCCCUCCUCCCACUUCUGAAGACCGCGGACUCAGCGCCAAGCGCCACGCCAAUGUGGUAAGCAUUCUACAUUUUACAAGAUGUACCUUUCCUCAGUAUAUUCGUGGGAGGAACUUAAGCCACCGUACUGAUCUGACUGGAAUACGUGGCGACGGCGGAGCGGAUCGACUGUCCGGCUCCGUUGCCUAAAGAUCCAGCAACCGCUCUCCUGACGGAGAUGCUAGUUUCGGCGCCUUAUGAGGUGCCGGAAAAGAAGGCCAAUAAGAAGGCCGUGGGGACAAGGAAAAGUCUUUGGUGCAACAUGGUGCCGGACUCAUCAUCCGAAGACACCGAGGCUCACUCCUCCAACGACAACGAGGAGGAGGAGGAGGAAAACCCUCUCCCCCAAAAUGAGGGGGAGAAGAAAAGGAAGGCCGCCCCUUCCGGGGAGGCCGAAGGGUCCAAGAAGGGACAGACCCUCCCUCCGGACCACUCCACAACCGCCGCCUAUAGCGAGGAGGAGUGGCUACCCAGGGCCAAGCCCCUAGUGAAGUCGUAAAUAUUCGUAUGUUAGGAUACUUCUUGCAUAUUUUAGCUUUAUGGCUCCUUAUUAUGUCAAGGUUUGUUUGUGCAGUCUGCCCAAAGCCCAUAUUGACUUGCCCUCCUCGAAUGGGUCCUUGAGCUCGUCGGAGAUGAAUAGCUAUUCGCUCCUGACGGCUUCCACACCCCGGCCCACGGAUGACACCGAGGUGUUAUCUCAGAGGAUGCCCGGGCCAGGAGGAGGUAGUCNNNNNNNNNNNNNNNNNNNNNNNNNNNNNNNNNNNNNNNNNNNNNNNNNNNNNNNNNNNNNNNNNNNNNNNNNNNNNNNNNNNNNNNNNNNNNNNNNNNNNNNNNNNNNNNNNNNNNNNNNNNNNNNNNNNNNNNNNNNNNNNNNNNNNNNNNNNNNNNNNNNNNNNNNNNNNNNNNNNNNNNNNNNNNNNNNNNNNNNNNNNNNNNNNNNNNNNNNNNNNNNNAGGGGGGCCGCAGCAAGCUUGGCCCCCAGCCGGAUACUGCACUGGAACCUCCAGUGGUUCCAGAUGCAGACAGGCAGCCACCCGCCAAAGGGGGCGAGCCGUCUGUGCCGAUGACCUCUGUCCAUCCAGAGGCGCCGGAUAACCUGGUGGAAGCCCUUUAGAGCGCUUCCCUUGGUGAAGGACACCAUACUCUUAUGAGUAUAGUGAUUGCGAAGGUUCAGUCUGCCAAGAGCGAAUUGACCGAAGCCUGCGCCAGCCUCCUGACAGGCUUUGAGGUAAGUAUUUUAAUUUAUGAGAAAGUAUCACGGUGUAGACAGUAGCCCCUGAUGCUCUGUUUGGUGUUCGGGAAGAGUAGCCGAACAGAGGAUCAAAUAUUAUUCCCAGGAGUCUAAUCAUAUUAUGUCUAUGUGAAUAAGCAGGCGUCGCUGCUGGCCGCCGCCGCCGCCACUGCGGAGGUUUCCGGACUGAGGCAGAGCCUGGGGCGGGCCGAAGAAGAGCUCAGCCUCAUGAAGAGGCAGCUCGAGGAAAACAAAGGUAAGCAAUACCCCGUCUGAAUGUUAUACGAAGGAAAAAUCGUGGAUGCUGAUAGAAGCAUGAUAAAUUUUGCUAGGGGCCACGACCGAGGUGGCGGCCCUUAAGAAGGUGCUGUCCGAGGCUGAAAACAAAGCGGCUGAGGAGCGCAUUGAGCACGAAAAACAAGAGGCGCGAGUUGAUGAGGUCCAGCAAGAGCUCCGGGACUUCGUCAAAAAAUUUGAGUCCUUGGAGCGUGACUCCAAGACGCAAGAGUCGGAGCUUGAGAAGGCCUGUCAGAGCGCACUAGACGCUAAGGCCGAAGCCCAGAAGGCCCUCCAGGAAAUUGAAGCAGCCAAGAAGAUAGCUGCGGGUAAGGCUUUCAUUAUGCAAAGCAAGCAUGUGGAGGAGACUUUCCUUUUACUUAGCCGAAUUCGGAGCUCUCCAGGAGCAUUCGCAGAUCUGCCGCACAACAUCUCUGAUGCCGCAGAGUUCUACCGGGCUAAGGAGGGAAGCUCGAUGGAGAAGCUGUUUUGGUCCCAGUAUAUUGGGGCCGAACACCCGAUGUCCUUGAGUGACCAGCGAAAGCAAUUGGUCGAACUCCACAAGUUGGCCGAACUGGCCAUGAAGGACUUCAUAGUCCGGCUGUGGCCUGGCGAGCCCCUACCUAGCAGCUACUUCGGCUUUAUCAAACGGAUGGUGAAUGCCUGUCCGCGGCUUGAAGUCGUUAAGCGGUCCGUAUGUAUUGAGGGUGCACGCAGGGCUUUGGCCCGUGCGAAGGUGCACUAGGGGAAGAUGGACGCCGAGAAGCUGGUGACGGAGUGGCCGCCGAAGGGCAAGGAACAUCGCCACCCCGAACAGUACUAUGACAAUGUCAUUAAGGGUGCCCGCCUUGUGGCGGAUGAAUGUACGAAGGAUGUGAUAUUUGAAUGAAUGUAAUCAUGUCAUCCUGUAUGAUGAAAACUAGUUCAUGUGCGCUAUGUGGCGCUUGUUAAUUUAAAAUAUUACCUUCUGUGCGGCCGUUUUUUUUAAAAUUCUUGAGAGUUGGCCAGUCGUCGGCUUCCGCCCCCAUGUAACUAGUACUGGGGUGUUCGGGAUAAGUAUAAACACUCUUUAUCCAAGUUUUUGGUCCUUUAAGGAGGUGUUUAGCACCACAUACGAGGCAAUUAGACUAUAUGGCUUUAUCGCCCUCACUUAGCCAUAGAACUCUACAAUUUUAAAUUUUGGCGAAGCCCCUAAUAUCCGGAAAGUCGGGCUUGGGGCGCUAUGCACGCCUAAAUCGGAUGAGUCCGAUUCCUCGCCUGACACGGAAAAAAUCUUUAAGGAUUUGAGACCUCUCCAACAGCGACCAGCUCUCACCUUAUCAUGACAGUCAGUUUUCGGCUUUCUCUACUAAGGUUCUCGUCCAGAAGAACCGGGACACAAUCGCAGUAGUUCUCCCUGCGCUACCUUAGCCGAUAUAGCGGAACGUAAGGUACCAAAACAUAGGAGCCGGGCAAACCCAACUAUUGACCCAAGACAUGAUUCAGAGCUGAUGCAUAUAGUGCUAUAAGUUCGGGGUGCCGCACUGUCGAAAGUGUUCGGACUUGUCUUGCCAGGUUAUGGGGUACUGAAGCCCCUGGCAAACUGGUCAUGCCAAAAUGCACGGGUAUAAUAAAUAAGCAGUAAAUAAAAAGGGGCAAAUAAACUUAAUAACAAGCUGACGCUGUAUACUAUUUUCCCUUUAAAAUGAUACGUCAAAGCGUACAUAUACAAGUAGUGCGAUAAGCAGAAUAGGACUGUUUGACACAUCCUAACUAGGAGCGGGCAGUAUGCGGUUAUGUAAAACAGGUAUAACGAUUGUUAUCAGAGACCACCUGAGGAUUCCCUCGUAUGCCAAAGCUUCUUGUCCUCAUGGUGUGUCUGUCCCGCUAUGUGUCCGAUAGCCGGUCUUCGGGAAGAGCCUCCUGAAGGUAGGGACCUGAAAGAAAAAGGGGUGCAAAAAUGCGCGUAUCCUGGGACGGUCGAGAUGCAUUAUGGACUGUGUCAUGACCGUGCCUCCACCUAUGCCCAUGGUAUUUUAAGUGCGUAGUUAUGUACGCGCGGCACGAAUGUCGCCGCUUCGCUGGGACUAGGGCGGAGGCCGAAUUGCUAGUCGAGCUCUAGUCAUGCUGGACGAUCCUGUAGAGGAGUACUCCGGACUCGCUUGGCGGUAUCUGGGUUCUUUAUCGCCGGGCUGGCUGUUUGCCUAAGAAGGCUGUUUUGUACUUUCGCCGCGAGGGCCGCAGUGUGCUCCUCCGUACAAAGAGAGCGCUCUGUGCUUCCAUUAACUGUAAUAACACCGCGAGGUCCUGACAUUUUGAGCUUGAGAUAUGCAUAAUGCGGCACCGCAUUGAAUUUGGCAAAUGCGGUUCGUCUGAGCAGUGCAUGAUAGCCGCUGCAGAAGGGGACGAUGUCGAAGAUUAACUCCUCGCUUCGGAAAUUGUCCGGAGAUCCGAAGACCACUUCUAGCGUGAUUGAGCCCGUACAACAGGCCUCUACACCGGGUAUGACACCCUUGAAGGUGGUUUUUGUGGGCUUGAUCCUUGAGGGGUCAAUGCCCAUUUUGCGCACUGUGUCCUGAUAGAGCAGGUUCAGGCUGCUGCCGUCGUCCAUGAGGACUCGUGUGAGAUGGAAUCUAUCGAUGAUGGGGUCAAGGACCAAUGCGGCCGAACCGCCAUGAAGGAUACUGGUAGGAUGGUCCCUACGAUCGAAAAUGAUCAGACAAGAGGACCAUGGGUUAAAUUUUGGGGCGACUGGCUCCAUCGCGUAGACGUCCCUUAGUGCAUGCUUCCUUUCCCGCUUGGGGAUAUGGGUUGUGUAUAUCAUAUUCACCGUUUUCACCUGGGGAGGGAAUUUCUUCUGUCCUCCCGUGUUCGGCGGUCGGGGCUCCUCGUCGUCGUCGCUAUGCUACCCCUUUUCCUUGUUUUCGGCAUUCAACUUGCCGGCCUGUUUAAACACCCAGCAUUCCCUGUUGGUGUGGUUGGCUGGUUUAUCAGGGGUGCCGUGAAUUUGACAUGAGCGAUCGAGUAUGCGGUCCAAACUAGAUGAGCCUGGACUGUUUCUCUUGAAUGGUUUUUCCGUUGUCCGGAUUUAAAGCCUCUGAAUCCGGCAUUGACUGUCGUGUCUUCGGCGUUGUCGCCAUUAUUGCGAUGUUUGUGUCUAUUCCAUCGCAGCUUGCCGUUGCUAUCCCUGGCGUCUGAAUCGCCUGAGUUUUUGGGUGUGAUGUUGCUGCGAGCCAGCCAGCUGUCCUCGCCCGCGUAGAAGCGGGUCAUGAGUCUCGUGAGGGCUGCCAUGGACCUUGGCUUCUCUUGGCCGAGAUGUCGGGCGAGCCAUUCGUCUCGGAUGUUAUGCUUGAAGGCCGCUAAGGCUUCGGCAUCCGGACAGUCGACAAUUUGGUUCUUUUUAGUUAGGAACCGAGUCCAGAAUUUCCUAGCUGGCUCUCCGGGCUGCUGGGUUACGUGACUUAAGUCAUCAGCAUUCCGUGGUAGCACGUAAGUGCCUUGGAAGUUAUCGAGGAAUGCGUCUUCCAGAUCCUCCCAACUGCCAAUGGAGCUUCCUGGCAGGCUAUUAAGCCAAUGCCUAGCCGGUCCUUUUGAGCUUAAGUGGUAGGUACUUUAUGGCGUGUAAGUCAUCGCCGCGGGCUAUGUGGAUGUGGAGAAGAAAGUCUUCGAUCCAAGCCGCAGGGUCUGUUGUGCCAUCGUAUGAUUCAAUAUUUACGGGUUUAAACCCUUCUAGGAAUUCGUGAUCCAUAACUUCAUCAGUGAAGCAUAGGGGGUGUGCGGCGCCUCUAUGCCGGGCUACAUCCCGACGUAGUUCAAAUGAGUCCGGUCUAUUGUAUUCGGCCCGGCCGGACUUUAGUUUAUUGUAUUUGGCGUGACGGUCAUCAUCAUGUCUUGUGGCGCGCCCCCGUGGUCCAUAGAUCGAUCUUGACUGUCCUGCUUUGUUUUCCAAUACUUCUUGCAGGUCCUUCAUGUAGCCCCGAGCCUUGGUAUUAUCGUUUGAUUGGCGGCGGGGUGCGGUCUGGACUUCGGGCUGGUACGCCGUUUUGUCGUGACCGCGGGGCGGCCGGUCAGCCGCAUCAUGCGCUGGUAGUGUGGGCUUUAGAGCCUCCUCCUCGAGUUGAGGUAGCAGCCUGCGCUUUGGGUAGCUUUUGCUAGGGUGUUCGAGUUCGUAUUCUUCGAUAGCCAGGACCUCGGUCCAUCUGUCAGUUAGCAGAUCUUGAUCAGCUUGGAGCUGUUGCUGCUUUUUCUUCAGUCUUUUUGCAGUGGCUAUAAGCCGGCGUUUGAAGCGCUCCUGCUCGAUGGGAUCCUCCGGUACGAUGAAUUCUUCGUCGCCAAGGCUCACUUCAUCUUCAGAGAGAGGCAUGUAAUUAUCGUCCUCUGAUUCUCCAUUAGUUGACUGUUCUUUAGGGCUAGCUUGCCCAUCCUCUUGCUCGGCCUGCUCGAAGCCUGGCUAGGCAGGAUUAUCUUCGUCUUCAGCACCACCCGGAUUGUUAUCUCCUGUGCAAGCAUCACUAUUUUUGCUAUGGCGGGGAUUGGAGCGGCGCCGAUGAUGCCGGUGUCUAGAUUGUUUCCCCAAGGGGUUAUCUUCUGUUGCCUCAUCGCCAUUGUUUUCUUUAGGGGUGUACACCGUAUAAAUAUCAUAUGAUGAGGUGGCGGUCCAGCGCCCUGUAGGUGGCGGUUCCCGUUCUUCUCCUGCAUCGUCGUCCAUACCGUUGAUGUCUUCGGAGUCGAAGUCAAGCACGUCGGUUAAGUCAUCGAUAGUGGCUAUAAAGUGGGUGGUGGGUGGGGGACGAAUUUCUUUGUUGCCCGCUCCCCACUCGAGCCGAACAUAGUUCGGCCAAGAAUCUCCUGACAAGGGCAGAGACCUUAAUGAGUUCAGCACGUAACCCAGGGGUGAGUGGUGAAAGAUAUCCACGGCAGUGAACUCCAUGACGGGUGCCCAAUCUGAUUCGAUAGGCACGGACGCACGCGGUUCGGAUCCUACAGCCGGAGACAAGUCCGCGGGUCCGAUAACGCCACUCUCACAAGAGGUGGGAUCAAUGUUCGGCUCCGACGCUGAUGAGUAUGCGGCCUCCGUGGCGGGGUCCAUCCACCCUUCCUCGGAAGGCACGAUUUGCUCCGGAUUGAUUCCUGGCGCCAACGAGGGUGCGAUCUCCCGAAUACUGUUCGACGGCAGAUCAAAGUCAUGUCUGUCGUGACUGUUCAGCACACCUGUCAUGGGCUCGAAUCCAUCGAAGAUCAAGUCUCCACAGAUGUCGGCAGUAUAGUUUAAGCUUCCAAACCUAACCUGAUUGCCAGGGGCGUAGCUGUUGAUCUGCUCCAGAUGGCCAAGCGAGUUGGCCCGCAGUACGAAGCCGCUGAAUACAAAGAUCUGUCCGGGAAGGAAAAUCUCCCCCUGGACCGCAUCGUUGAAGAUGAUCGAGGGAUCCAUCAAGCCUUAUCGCGACGGCACAGUGGAACUCUCAAUGAAAGCACCAAUGUCGGUGUCAAAACCGGUGGAUCUCAGGUAGGGGGUCCCGAACUGUGCGUCUAAGGCUAAUGGUAACAGGAGGCAGGGGACAGGAUGUUUUACCCAGGUUCGGGCCCUCUCGAUGGAGGUAAUACCCUACUUCCUGCUUGAUUGAGCUUGAUGAUACGAGUAUUACAAGAGUUGAUCUACCAUGAGAUUGUAGAGGCUAAACCCUAGAAGCUAGCCUAUGAUUAUGAUUGUUCUUGUCCUAUGGACUAAACCCUCCGGUUUAUAUAGACACCGGAGGGGGUUAGGGUUACACAGAGUCGGUUACAGAGAAGGGAAUCUACAUAUCCGAAUAUCCAAGCUUGCCUUCCACGCAAAGGAGAGUCCCAUUCGGACACGGGACGAAGUCUUCAAUCUUGUAUCUUCAUAGUCCAAUAGUCCGGCCAAAGUAUAUAGUCCGGCUAUUCGAGGACCCCUUAAUCCAGGACUCCCUCAGCGAGCCCUUUGACCAGGCUCCGCUGCCCACCUUCAUCCCAACUUCUCCCACUUUUAAUGUCACUGGCGCCGCAGUUUAAAAUCAACCCCGCACUACCCGGUAUCGCCACAAUCUUCUCUCUUCCUCUCCGAUUCUCCUCCAACCAGCAUGACCUAAACAUACGCCAUGCUGCAUCACGAUGGUCUGCCCUUAGUCUUCCAGUUUCCCUAGGAAGACACCCAGCCGGAGUCUCAAGAACAUAAGGCGCUUUGGGACAAGCUUGAACUGGCAUUGCGGGAAGACGCCGCGCCUGUCCCCGCUCCCGUUCUGGCUCCCAUCGCCCUGACUGCACCAGCGCCCAUCCCGGUGGCAUUGAUGGGCUGGGAGCCGCACAUUGUCGCCGAGCUUGAUGCCACGGGGUUCCAUGAGGUCCUCGCCGACUUUCACGCGCUCGUGCACCUGCGCAUGCACUGACGCACACGCCCGUGUCGGUGCUCGUGCACCUGCCAGCGCAUGCGCCUAUGCGUGCACUGACGUGCGCGCCCAUGCCGGAGCCCGUGCACACGAAUGUCUCCACCACGCUGUUGCCAGCACCUAUCCCCGUGCGGGUGCCAGUGCCCCCUCAGCGGCAUGGAUGGCUGCCGUCGACCGCUUCCUUGCACCAACGCCAGCCGCCUCCUCCCGCGAGUUGACUCGCUCCGAAGUCCAGAACAUUGUGGCCUUCCUUGAAGUUAGGCCAACGUCCAGGAGUACGCCAACAACGGCACAAGACGCCGCCGUCGCCAUCGGUCAGUGGCCAGACGACACACAGAGCAUGGCAGAGGAGCCGCUUCCCACCGCAAAACGCACCCGCCGCCGCCGCGUAAUCUAAAUUUGCCAUGAAAAACGUUUGGAUUGCCAUGCUUAAAAUUCGAAUGUUUAUCAUUUCCGUUUAUUUUAGAAUGAUCGUCGUAUGAAUGUAAAGUCGGAGUCAGACUGAAUGAAAUCUAUGGUUUGAUUGAUUGAAUGUUCUGCUAGAGCCGUAUCAAAUUAAAUAUAAAACGUCAUCAAGCCACAUGUAUUCCUUGUCAUCCAACGACCUAGAAUGCUUCAAUGUCGAGCGCUCAACACAUUUAGCGUGUAGUUAAUUUCUUGCCAAAAAUAGUGCUAAUCACAUAAUAACAUGCAAAUAUUAUCCUACUUAAUAUCCGCAUGCACUUAUUAUACUUCCAAAUUAAUGUGCAUUCCACGUACACAUUGACUAGUGCUACUAGUACGUGAAACUGGUGCCGUAACUUGUGAACGUGUCCAGAUAUGGUCAACGGUAACAUCGUCUGUGAGUUCUUUGUGUUUGCCCGUGCGUCUAAAUGCAGAAGGGGAGGAGAGAGAGAGAGAGAGCACACAUGGAACCCACCAGUAAGUGAAGGCGAAUAGUACGUGCAAACGAGCCGGUCCCACUAAUGUACGAAAAAUAAUUUUACAUGUUAUCCAUUAAAUAGGCUGUGGUAAUAUAAAAACAUUUUAUGAACAAUGGGGGGUACAACAAAUAUUGUUGUUCUAUGUAUGUUGCCUAUGUACGUGCGGCUUAAGGCCCUGGUCGCAUGUUUGAUCCUUGUCCUUUAUAUUUUAAUUUGUAUAUGGGUCCAAAUUUGAUUUCAUGACAGGUGGGCCCUCAGUGUGUAGUUUGUAGCACUUUAAUUUGUGGGUCGAAAUUUGUUCCGUUCCAAGUGUAUUAUCAGUGUGUAGUUUUGUAUAUUUAUAAUAAUUAAAGAGAACAACCGAGUUUUUUGCAAUAAUACCAUGGUGCGACGUUGAAGGCGAGAAAGGACGUGCGAGAGAGCGAUGACCGAGCCAGAGGGAAAUUGAUGUCUACUACACAACCUACUUCUUGUAGACGUUGUUGGGCCUCCAAGUGCAGAGGUUUGUAGGACAGUAGCAAAUUUCCCUCAAGUGGGUGACCUAAGGUUUAUCAAUCCAUGGGAGGCGUAGGAUGAAGAUGGUCUCUCUCAAACAACCCUGCAACCAAAUAACAAAGAGUCUCUUGUGUCCCCAACACACCCAAUACAAUGGUAAAUUGUAUAGGUGCACUAGUUCAGCGAAGAGAUGGUGAUACAAGUGCAAUAUGGAUGGCAGAUAUAUGUUUUUUUAAUCUGAAAAUAUACAAACAGCAAGGUAACAAGUGGUAAAAGUGAGCGAAAACGGUAUUGGAAUGCUUCGAAACAAGGCCUAGGGUUCAUACUUUCACUAGUGCAAGUUCUCUCAACAAUAAUAACAUAAUUGGAUCAUAUAACUAUCCCUCAACAUGCAACAAAGAGUCACUCCAAAGUCACUAAUAGCAGAGAACAAACAAAGAGAUUAUUGUAGGGUACGAAACCACCUCAAAGUUAUCCUUUCUGAUCGAUCUAUUCAAGAAUCUGUAGUAAAAUAACACAAAGCUAUUCUUUCCGGUCGAUCUAUCAUAGAGUUCGUACUAGAAUAAAACCUUAAGACACAAAUCAACCAAAACUUUAAUGUCACCUAGAUACUCCAAUGUCACCUCAAGCAUCCGUGGGUAUGAUUAUACGAUAUGCAUCACACAAUCUCAGAUUCAUCUAUUCAACCAACACAAAGAACUUCAAAGAGUGCCCCAAAGUUUCUAUCGGAGAGUCAAGACGAAAAUGUGUGCCAACCCCUAUGCAUAAGUUCACAACAUCACUGAACCCGCAAGUUGAUCACCAAAACGUACAUCAAGUAGAUCACGUGAAUAUCCCAUUGUCACCAUAGAUAAGCACAUGCAAGACAUACAUCAAGUGUUCUCAAAUCCUUAAAGACUCAAUCCGAUAAGAUAACUUCAAAGGGGAAACUCAAUCCAUUACAAGAGAGUAGAGGGGGAGAAACAUCAUAAGAUGCAACUAUAAUAGCAAAGCUCGCGAUACAUCAAGAGCCUGCCAAAUCAAGAACACGAGAGAGAGAGAGAGAUCAAACACAUAGCUACUGGUACAUACCCUCAGCCCUGAGGGUGAACUACUCCCUCCUCGUCAUGGAGAGUGCCGGGAUGAUGAAGAUGGCCACCGGUGAGUGAUCCCCCCUCCGGCAGGGUGCCGGAACAGGGUCUCGAUUGGUUUUUGGUGGCUACAGAGGCUUGCGGCGGCGGAACUCCCCAUCUACGUUAUUUUCUGGAGGUUUCUGUAUUUAUAGGAAUUUUUGGCGUAGGUCUCACGUGAGGGGGGGGGGGGUCUCCGAGCCAUCCAUGAGAUAGGGGGGCGCGCCUAGGGGGGUGGGCGCGCCCCCCACCCUCGUGGGAAGCCCGGGACUCUUCUGUCCCAACUCUUUUACUCCGGGGGCUUCUUUUGGUCCAUAAAAAAUCAUGAAAAAUUGGCACGUCAAUUGGACUCCGUUUGGUAUUCCUUUUCUGUAAAACUCAAAAACAAGGAAAAAAACAAAAACUGGCACUGGGCUCUAGGUUAAUAGGUUAGUCCCAAAAAUCAUAUAAAAUAGCAUAUAAAUGCAUAUAAAACAUCCUAGAUGGAUAAUAUAAUAGCAUGGAACAAUAAAAAUUAUAGAUAAGUUGGAGACGUAUCAAGCAUCCCCAAGCUUAAUUCCUGCUCGUUCUCGAGUAGGUAAAUGAUAAAAACAGAAUUUUUGAUGUGGAAUGCUACCUAACAUAUUUAUCAAUGUAAUCUUCUUUAUUGUGGCAAGAAUAUUCAGAUUCAUAAGAUUCAAAACAAAAGUUUAAUAUUGACAUAAGAAUGAUAAUUCUUCAAGCACACUAACAAGGCAAUUAUGUCUUCUCAAAAUAACAUGGCUAAAGAAAGUUUAUCACUACAAAAUCAUAUAGUCUGGCUAUGCUCCAUCUUCAUCACACAAAAUAUUCAAAUCAUGCACAACCCCGGUUUCAGCCAAGCAAUUGUUUCAUACUUUAGUAUUCUCAAACCUUUUCAACUUUCACAUAAUACAUGAGCGUGAGCCAUGGACAUAGCAUUAUAGGUGGAAUAGAGUGGUGGUUGUGGAGAAGACAGAAAAGAGGAAGAUGGUCUCACAUCAACUAGGCAUAUUAAUGGGCUAUGGAGAUGCCCAUCAAUAGAUAUCAAUGUGAGUGAGUAGGGAUUGUCAUGCAACAGAUGCACUAGAGCUAUAAAUGUAUGAAAGCUCAACAAAAUAACCUAAGUGGGUGUGCAUCCAACUUGCUCGCUCAUGAAGACCUAGGGCACUUGAGGAAGCCCAUCAUUGGAAUAUACAAGCCAAGUUCUAUAAUGAAAAAUUCCGACUAGUAUAUGAAAGUGACAAAAUAGGAGACUCUCUAUCAUGAAGAUCAUGGUGCUACUUUGAAGCACAAGUGUGGUAAAAGGAUAGUAGCAUUGCCCCUUCUCUCUUUUUCUCUCAUUUUUUUAUUUUUUUAUUUGGGCCCUUUCUCUUUUUUAUGGCCUCUUUUUUUCUCUUUUUUUUAUUUUUCAUCCGGAGUCUCAUCCCGACUUGUGGGGGAAUCAUAGUCUCCAUCAUACUUUCCUCACUGGGACAAUGCUCUAAUAGUGAAGAUCAUCACACUUUUAUUUACUUAAAACUCAAGAAUUACAACUCGAUACUUAGAACAAGAUAUGACUCUAUAUGAAUGCCUCCGACAGUGUACCGGGAUGUGCAACGAAUCAAGAGUGACAUGUACGAAAUAAUUAUGAAUGGUGGCUUUGCCACAAAUACGAUGUCAACUACAUGAUCAUGCAAAGCAAUAUGACAAUAAUGAUGCGUGUCAUAAUAAACCAAAACGGCGGAAAGUUGCAUGGAAAUAUAUCUUGGAAUGACUAUGUAAAUGUCAUAAUAGGUAGGUAUGGUGGCUGUUUUGAGGAAGGUAUAUGGUGGGUGUGUAGUACCGGCGAAAGUUGCGCGAUACUAGAGAGGCUAUCAAUGGUGGAAGGGUGAGAGUGCAUAUAAUCAAUGGACUCAACAUUAGUCAUAAAGAACUCACAUACUUAUUGCAAAAAUCUACAAGUCAUCAAAAUAAAGUACUACACGCAUGCUCCUAGGGGAAGGGUUGGUAGGAGUUAACCAUCGCGCGAUCCCGACCUCCACACAAAGGAAGACAAUCAAAAAAUAAGUCAAGCUCCAAUUUCAUUACAUAACGGUUCACCAUAUGUGCAUGCUACGGGAAUCACAAACUUUAACACAAGUAUCUCUCAAAUUCACAACUACUCACUAGAAUGACUCUAAUAUCACCAUCUUCAUAUUUCAAAACAAUCAUAAGGAAUCAGACUUCUCUUAGUAUUCAAUGCACUUUAUAUGAAAGUUUUUAUUAUAUCCCUCUUGGAUGCCUAUCAUAUUAGGACUAAAUUCAUAACCAAAAAAAACUACCAUGCAGUUUAAGACUCUCAAAAUAAUAUAAGUGAAGCAUGAGAGUUCAUCAAUUUCUUAAAAAUAAAACCACCGAUGUGCUCUAAAUGUUGGGGAACAUAGUAAUUUCAAAAAAAUUCCUACGCACACGCAAGAUCAUGGUGAUGCAUAGCAACGAGAGGGGAGAGUGUUUUCCAUGUACCCUCGUAGACCGAAAGCGGAAGUGUUAGAACAACGCGGUUGAUGUAGUCGUACGUCUUCACGACCCGACCGAUCAAGCGCCGAAACUACGACACCUCCGAGUUCUAGCACAUGUUCAAAUCGAUGACGAUCCCCGUACUCCAAUCCAGCAGAAUGUCGGGGAAGAGUUCCGUCAGCACGACGGCGUGGUGACGAUCUUGAUGUUCUACCGUCGCAGGGCUUCGCCUAAGAACCGCUACAAUAUUAUCGAGGAGGACUAUGGUGGAGGGGGGCACCGCACACGGCUAAGAUAUCAAGAGAUCAAUUGUUGUUGUGUCUAGAGGUGCCCCCUGCCCCCGUAUAUAAAGGAGUGGAGGAGGGGGAGAGGGCCAGCCCCUAUGGCGCGCCCUGGAGGAGUCUUACUCCCACCGGGAGUAGGAUUUCUCCCCUUCCAUGUAGUAGGAGUAGGAGACAAGGAAGGGGGAGAGGGAAGAGAAGGAAGGAGGGGGUGCCGCCCCUCCCCUAGUCCAAUUCGGACUAGUCAUUGGGGGGGGGGGGCACACGGCCUGCCUCUCUCUCUCUCCCCUAAAGCCCAAUAAGGCCCAUAUACUUCUUCCCCCGUAUUCCCGUAACUCCCCGGUACUCCAAAAAAUACCCGAACCACUUGGAACCUUUCCGAUGUCCGAAUAUAGUCGUCCAAUAUAUCAAUCUUUACGUCUCGACCAUUUCGAGACUCCUCGUCAUGUCCCCGAUCUCAUCCGGGACUCUGAACUCCUUCGGUACAACGAAAAUCAUAAACUCAUAAUAAAACUAUCAUCGAAACCUUAAGCGUGCGGACCCUAUGGGUUCGAGAACUAUGUGGACAUGACCGAAACACAUGUCCGGUCAAUAACCAAUAGCGGAACCUGGAUGCUCAUAUUGGCUCCUACAUAUUCUACGAAGAUCUUUAUCGGUCAAACCGCAUAACAACAUACGUUGUUGCCUUUGUCAUCGGUAUGUUACUUGCCCGAGAUUCGAUCGUCGGUAUCUCAAUACCUAGUUCAAUCUCGUUACCGGCAAGUCUCUUUACUCGUUAUGUAAUGCAUCAUUCCGUAACUAACUCAUUAGCUACAUUGCUUGCUAGGCUUAUAGUGAUGUGCAUUACCGAGAGGGCCCAGAGAUACCUCCCCAACAAUCGGAGUGACAAAACCCAAUUCAACAUGUACCUUUGGAGACACCUGUAGAUCUCCUUUAUAAUCACCCAGUUACAUUUUGACAUUUGGUAGCACACAAAGUGUUCCUCCGGUAAACGGGAGUUGCAUAAUCUCAUAGUUGUAGGAACAUGUAUAAGUCAUGAAGAAAGCAAUAGCAACAUACUAAACGAUCAAGUGCUAAGCUAACGGAAUGGGUCAUGUCAAUCACAUCAUUUUACUAAUGAUGUGAUCCUGUUAAUCAAAUGACAACUCAUAUCUAUGUUUAGAAAACAUAACCAUCUUUGAUUAAUGAGCUAGUCUAGUAGAGGCAUACUAGUGACAAUAUGUUUGUCUAUGUAUUCACACAUGUAUCUUGUUUCCGGUUAAUACAAUUCUAGCAUGAAUAAUAAAAAUUUAUCAUGAUAUAAGGAAAUAAAUAAUAACUUUAUUAUUGCCUCCAGGGCAUAUUUCCUUCAUUAAAAUAAUAUAAGUGAAGCACUAGAGCAAAUGACAAGCUACUCCGAAAGAUAUAAGUGAAGAUCAAUGAGUAGUCGAAUAAUUAUGCAACUAUGUGAAGACUCUCUAACAUUUAAGAAUUUCAGAUCUUCGGAUUUUAUUCAAACAGCAAGCAAAAUAAAAUAAAACAAAAUGACGCUCCAAGCAAAACACAUAUCAUGUGGUGAAUAAAAAUAUAGCUCCAAGUAAAGUUACCGAUGAACGAAGACGAAAGAGGGGAUGCCUUCCGGGGCAUCCCCAAGCUUAGGCUCUUGGUUGUCCUUGAAUAUUACCUUGGGGUGCCUUGGGCAUCCCCAAUCUUAGGCUCUUGCCACUCCUUAUUCCAUAGUCCAUCGAAUCUUUACCCAAAACUUGAAAACUUGACAACACAAAACUCAACAGAAAACUCGUAAGCUCCGUUAGUAUAAGAAAAUAAAACCACCACUUAGGUACUGUAAUAAACUCAUUCUAAAUUCAUAUUGGUUAAAUAUAUACUGUAUUCCAACUUCUCUAUGGUUCAUACCCUCCGAUACUACUCAUAGAUUCAUCAAAAACAGCAAACAACACAUAGAAAACAGAAUCUGUCAAAAACAGAACAGUCUGUAGUAAUCUGUAACUCUUGAAUACUUAUGUAACUCCAAAAAUUCUACCAAAUUAGUAAAACCUAAGAAAUUUGUGUACCAAUCCAUAGCAAAAAUAAUCAGAUCAAAAGCACGUUUCUGUGAAUUAUCAAAACGGAUUUACUGGGCGAAAAAGUUUCUAAUUUUCAGCAGGAUCAACACAACUAUCACCGUAAGCUAUCCUAAAGGUCUUACUUGGCACUUUAUUGAAACAAAAUCUAUAAAACAUGAUUACUACAGUAGCAUAAUCAUGUGGACACACAAAAAUAGUAAUGGUAAAUAUUGGGUUGUCUCCCAACAAGCGUUUUUUUCUUUAAUGCCUUUCUAGCUAGGCAUGAUGAUGACAAUGAUGCUCACAUAAAAGAUAAGAAUUGAAACAUAACGGGAGCAUCAUGAAGCAUAUGACUAGCACAUUUAAGCCUAUCCCACUUCCUAUGAAUAGGGAUUUUGUGAGCAAACAACUUAUGGGAAUAAGAAUCAACUAGCAUAGGAAGGUAAAACAAGCAUACCUUCAAGAUUUUCAACACAUAGAGAGGAAACUUGAUAUUAUUGCAAUUCCUACAAGCAUAUGUUCCUCCCUCAUAAUAAUUUUCAGUAGCAUCAUGAAUGAAUUAAACAAUAUAACCAUUACAUGAAGCAUUAUUUUCAUGAUGCACAAGCAUAUAAAUUUUACUACUCUCCACAUAAGCAAACUUCUUCUCAUGAAUAGUUGUGGGAGCAAACUCAACAAAAUAACUAUCAUGUGAAGCAUAAUCCAAUUGAAAAUUAAAAUCAUGAUAACAAGUGUCAUGGUUAUGUUUAUUGUUUAUGGCAUAGGUAUCAUCACAAUAAUUAUCAUAAAUAGGAGGCAUGCUCGCAUCAUAAUAAAUUUGCUCAUCAAAACUUGGGGGACAAAAAAUAUCAUAUUCAUCAAACAUAGCAUCCCCAAGCUUGUGGCUUUGCAUAUCAUUAGCAUCAUGGGUAUUCAAAGAAUUCAUACUAACAACAUUGCAAUCACGCUCAUCAUUCACAUAUUUUAUGCCAAACAUUCUAUGUAGUUCUUCUUCUAGUACUUGAGCAUAAUUUUCGGAAUCCUUAUUUUCACGGAAGACAUUAAAAAGAUGAAGCAUAUGAAGCAUCCUCAAUUCCAUUUUUUUGUAAUUUUCUUUUAUAGACUAAACUAGUGAUAAAACAAGAAACAAAAAGAUUCGAUUGCAAGAUCUAAAGAUAUACCUUCAAGCACUCACCUCCCCGGCAACGACGCCAGAAAAGAGCUUGAUGUCUACUACACAACCUUCUUUUUGUAGACGUUGUUGGGCCUCCAAGUGCAGAGGUUUGUAGGACAAUAGCAAAUUUCCCUCAAGUGGAUGACCUAAGGUUUAUCGAUCCGUGGGAGGCAUAGGAUGAAGGUGGAAUCUGUCAAACAACCCUGCAACCAAAUAACAAAGAGUCUCUUGUGUCCCGAACACACCCAAUACAAUGGUAAAUUGUAUAGGUGCACUAGUUCGGCGAAGAUAUGGUGAUACAAGUGCAAUAUGGAUGGUAGAUAUAGGUUUUUGUAAUCUAAAAAUAUAAAAACAUCAAGGUAACAAGUGGUAAAAGUGAGCGAAAACGGUAUUGCAAUGCUUCGAAACAAGGCCUAGGGUUCAUACUUUCACUAGUGCAAGUUCUCUCAACAAUAAUAACAUAAUUGGAUAAUAUAACUAUCCCUAAACAUGCAACAAAGAGUCACUCCAAAGUCACUAUUAGCGGAGAACAAACGAAGAGAUUAUUGUAGGGUACGAAACCACCUCAAAGUUAUCCUUUGUGGUCGAUCUAUUCAAGAGUCCGUAGUAAAAUAACACGAAGCUAUUCUUUCCGUUCGAUCUAUCAUAGAGUUCGUACUAGAAUAAAACCUUAAGACACAAAUCAACCAAAAGCCUAAUGUCACCUAGAUACUCCAAUGUCACCUCAAGUAUCCGUGGGUAUGAUUAUACGAUAUGCAUCACACAAUCACAGAUUCAUCUAUUCAACCAACACAAAGUACUUCAAAGAGUGCCCCAAAGUUUCUACCAGAGAGUCAAGAUGAAAACGUGUGCCAACCCCUAUGCAUAAGUUCAUAAGGUCACUGAACCCGCAAGUUGAUCACCAAAACAUACAUCAAGUAGAUCACGUGAAUAUCACAUUGUCACCACAGAUAAGCACAUGCAAGACAUACAUCAAGUGUUCUCAAAUCCUUAAAGACUCAAUCCGAUAAGAUAACUUCAAAGGGAAAACUCAAUCCAUUACAAGAGAGUAGAGGGGGAGAAACAUCAUAAGAUCCAACUAUAAUAGCAAAGCUCGCGAUACAUCAAGAUUGUGCCAAAUCAAGAACAUGAGAGAGAGAUCAAACACAUAGCUACUGGUACAUACCCUCAGCCCGAGAGUGAAAUACUCCCUCCUUGUCAUGGAGAGCACCGGGAUGAUGAAUAUGGCCACCGGUGAGGGAUCCCUCCUCCGGCAGGGUGCCAGAACAGGGUCCCGAUUGGUUUUUGGUGGCUACAGAGGCUUGCGGCGGCGGAACUCCCCAUCUACUCUCCCUUCAUUUUCCCAUUUAUACACCGUCCGCGCUAGAACACCAUCCCCACACCAGCCUCCUUCAUUAGGCACCCCAUCCAUCGUCGCCGUCCUCCACCCCAUCCAUCGCCCCCGUCCUCCAGCCCAUCCAUCACCACCGUCCUCCACCAUGCCCGAGUGCCUCCCAAGACCACGUCGUCCACUACUAGAGAUGGACGUUUCUCAUCCACGACGAUGGACCAAGAGCCUUGCAUCGCGUCCUCUCGCUUCAUUGGCACCGUCGUCCUCUUUGCUGGGGCUGCUCACACGACCUUCUCUUCCACCGCAACGGGACUUAUCCCCCGAUGCACCCGUCUAUCAUUGCAGAUCUGCUUCAACGCCACCGACAACCAUCGCACCCCUGAUGCCUACAUGGCGCCGCAAGAGAGGUGGUACUUCAAUCUCCUCAACUUUUUGAUCUCAACAGAAAAUAGAUCAUAACUUGGUUACUCUACUUUCUUUUCAGCUCUUAGAAUUUAGUUCUUAGUUCGAAGCAAACAAUGGAUGCUAAAUAUCAUUUCUCUGGUUUGCAGCUUCAAAUCUGCCAUGGCACAGUCAUAAUACGGUUUAAUUGAUCAUGCUUAGGGUUUAAUUGAUCAUGUUGGUUCCGUGGUGGUUUCUUUAAUAGAAAUCAAAGGGGAAACCCUCUUUUGCUAAAAAAAAUAUGCUUAGAGUUUCCCCCUUUUAUGAUCACUAUACGAUCAUAAUAUGUGCUUCAUGUCAUAAUAUCACUACUCCACCCAUCAAGCUAAACAAGCUUAGUUGUUCAAAUAUGAAUAUGAUAUUAUUAAAAUAGAGUCAUUUAAUUAGUCAACUAAAUGUUUCUAAAUUAGUUUCGAAAAUGCAUGUUCACCACUCGGGUGUGUAUCUCUACAGGGUGCCCACGGUGGGCUGGCCCACCCUGGGAUUUUGGGUCGUCCCAGGCCCCGAUUCCCCUCUGUUCUGCUGCACGCUUCCAAUCUCUACUCGCUCCUAGCCGCCUGCCUCGCCGACGACUUGCCGUCCCCAGACGGCAUGACUCUAGGAGGAGACGCCGGACUAACAGGAGGUCAGGAGCCGCUUGCCCAACAGGGUCACCGCUGCCCGGGCACGCCGCGGUGCCUACCUUCCCAGUCCGUUCAGGGCUCAGGCGUGCAGCACCCACUAAGCUAACCCGAUUUAUCCUAAGAUACGUCCUCAACACUCAGUAACCACUCCUCAUCACCCAUUUUCUAAUUGAUUCAUUACUCAUUAGGCAGGACUGUCAUUAGGGUUUGUUGUGUGCUGAGUGCUACAUACACUUAAUGGUUCAGAUGUAUUUCAGUAAUCUUUAGUACCUGUAAAGUUCAUAGGGUUUUCAAAAUUCUGGCCCUAGGAACAGACACUAGUCAUUUUGGAUUGUUGGUCGUAGUGACAUUGACCCAGAUUACUACUGCAAGCCAGGUUUGUUGACAAUUUUACUUGUCUUUCUUACUCAUUCAAUAUAAUAUCCAAUUAUUCACGUCGAUUAGUUGCAAACAAUAAGUGCUAUACAAACUUCUUGAUUAGAUUUUGGACGGUCUCUUACUGCAGUUACAAUUCUGCAUACUUGUCCUAGUAAGCUCACAAGUAAAUGAUUGAUUCACUACAUCUAUGCUUGCCUUGUCAUAUUUGUUGUCAAUAUUCUUUUAGGGUGGAACACCCUGUUUCAAAAUACUGGAACCGUAGACAUGAGUGAAUAGUAUUUCUCUGUGUGAUCUCUUCCAUCAUGUGUGGGAAACGAACACUGCAUUGCAUAGAAAGAAAGUGUCAUUUCCAGCUUAUACAUAGGCUUCGAUCUUUUACUUGGAAUACAAUCUGCCUACUUGCUUUGUGUCGCACUAGCAACACUCCACCCUUGAAGCUAAACAUUAUGCCACUCAUAAUUCCUUAGUUUAUUUGUUCAAAUAUGAAUUUCAUAUGAUUCUAAUGUUCCUACUUCAGUUCUAAAAUGUGUGUCUGCCUGUUAUAGAGACGUAAGGGGUUUGUAUUUCUGUGUGUGGUCUGGUCAGCACGGUUGGGGGUGAACUUUGCAUAUGCAAGGGUUUAUAGGGAGACACUCUUCGAAUUGAAUCCACAAUGCAUUCCAUAUAUAAUCUGACUACUUUUUAUGUUUUCAUGAAUCUCAGAUUCUGAACGACAUCAUAAUGAUUAUGAGCUUGCGCGCAUGAAAAGAAUAAAGCAGAACAAUGCCAUGGCUGUCAAACUUGGCAUUAAGGGACUGAAAUCAAGUCUGGAUGCAAUGCAAUGCAAACACUCUCCACCUACAGAUUCUUGCUCAGAAUAUGAUCCUAACAGUGAUUCUGAGCUAGAGGGAGACCUAAGUCAAUGUAGCUCCCUAGUGGAGGAGUCAGAGGCAGAUGCCCUAUCUUAUUCACCCAUCAAGGUGCUUGCUCUAACUUUCCAAGGUUAUAUUGGUCGCACAUAUCUUGCAACUGAUGCUUUGGAUUGCUUCUACUUUGUUGCACUACCAUUAGCUUAGUUUACAGAUCGUGUAUGUGAAUACGCCCUGCCUAUCCAUUUUCAGUACAUAUUCCAUCUGUCAUCUUACCAUAUUUAUCCAUUCAAAUGUUGUUCUUGUGUAUCAGACGUUCAAAAGGAAGAGGGCGAUUGCUGAUCAUGGAGGAGCACAAGAAAAGUAUUUGGAAAAGGUAGUGGCACCUGAUAAAUCAAAUAGCCCAUUAGGUGUAGUUGCAAUAUCACCUGACCCACAAAACACCCCAACUCUAGCAGACUCUAGCCCUACUACACUGGUCAUUUCUGAUGCCCCAACUCAACAGGCCCCAACUAUAGCAAACAUUAUGAUGAUGCCAGUUGACAUAGCACCAGCUCUAUGACGCAAAACCCCCAUUCCAUCAAAGAUUACACCAAAUCCAAUUGCCAAAUCCCUUUUCGAACCAAAGAGAGCCCCAAUUGCAGCAAAUAGGACCCCUGGUCCAUUUCUUCCCAGUUUAGAAGACGAAGCUUACAUUGUUGUUAGGAACUUUGUGCGCAUCUUUCCUUCAUGGAAAGAUUAUACCGCAGACACAGAAAAAUUUCCAGUCUUCCUCCAAACUUACGCGUAAGUAAUGUACUAAUGUUAUUCAUGGUCAUCACUGCAUAUAUUUCUGCUGACAGAAGACACAAGAUUUCAUUCUUUUAAAUAGGCGAGGACCAAACUGGAUUGUGAAGACGAGAAAGGGCUGGUUGCGCUUUUCAAGCACUUGUUGAUGAAGUAUCGUUCCUACCUGAGGCAAGCGCAAUUCGAUGGCAAGCCUCUAAACGUAAUUUCUAUAAAGUCUCCGGUGCUACAUUUAUCCGAUGGUGACUGGAAUAAUCUUGUUACACAUUGGUCUCGGCUGCAGCGUAAGGUACUGUCUAUGAUACCACAUCAUAAUUUGAACUACAUUUCUGCAUUUGCCUUAACGUCUCACUUGUACGAAAACUGUUAGCAGAAGAACAUUCAUUCUCAAGGGACCACAGAAUCUCGCAACUAUACUACAAACUGCAUUGCUCUUGUGAGUACCUCUUGCCCUGUAUGACCAUACUUACUUUCAUAGUUGUUUGAUUAUGUAGCAUCACUGCACAUGUUAGCCUCGUUAUCAUCCAUUUGGUGGACAUUAUAAGAUCCGUAUGGACUCUUACAUAAAUGUAGAAUCAACCCGAUGCUUUUGAAGAGGUUUAGCUCUACAGUCCUCUUGUAAGGACUGAACGUUGUCUAUCACUGUACUUACAUUCACAGCUACUCCCUCUGUCCCAUAUUAUAAGAAUGUUUUGUAUAGUACACCCGUGUUCAAAACACUCUUGUAUUAUGGGAAGAGGGAUUGGUUCAUUGUGUAGCAUUCUGCAUCUUAUCUCCCUCGCCCACCAUUUACUAAAAAAGAUCAGAUCUAUAUUUAGUCUUACCAAAAAGUAGAAUACACAGACAAAGCGAAACGGUGUCCGAGGUGGCCACGAGACAGGGGGACGCGCCUGGCACUCUCAUGGGCCACCCAUAAGGUGGUUGACGCUCUUCUUUUGCCGCAAGAAAGCUAUUUUUAUGAUAAAAAUCUGGGCGAAAGAUUCACCCCAAUCGGAGUUACGGAUCUCCGGAUAUAAAAGAAACGGUGAAGGGGAAGGAUCUGGGAACGCAGAAACAAAGAGAAACAGAGAGAUAGAUCCAAUCUCGGAGGGGCUCUCGCCCCUCCCACACCAUGGGAGCCAAGGACCAGAGGGGAAACUCUUCUCCCAUCUAGGGAGGAGGUCAAGGAAGAAGAAAAAGAAAGGGGCUCUCUCCCCCUUGCUACCGGUGGCGCCGGAAAGCCGCCGGGGGCCAUCAUCAUUACCGCGAUCUUCACCAACACCACCGCCAUCUUCACCAACAUCUCCAUCACCUUCGCCCCUCUAUCUACAGCGGUCCACUCUCCUGCAACCCGAUGUACCCUCUACUUGAACAUGGUGCUUUAUGCUUCAUAUUAUUUUCAAAUGAUGUGUUGCCAUCCUAUGAUGUUUGAGUAGAUUUUCAUUGUCCUAUUGAUGGUUGAUGAAUUGCCAUGAUUGAUUUAAUUUGCUUGUGGUUAUGUUGCUGUCCUUUGGUGCCCAUCAUAUGAGCGUGCGCGUGGAUCACACCAUAGGGUUAUUUGUAUAUUGAUAGGACUAUGUAUUGGAGGGCUAGAGUGACAGAAGCUUCAACCUAGCAUAUAAAUUGAUGCAUACAGGAUUGAAGGGGGACCAAUAUAUCUUAAUGCUAUGGUUGGGUUUUACCUUAAUGAACGUUAGUAGUUGCGGAUGCUUGCUAAUAGUUCCAAGCAUAAGUGCAUAGAAUUCCAAGUCAGGGAUGACAUGCUAGCAGUGGCCUCUUCCACAUAAGACUUGCUAUCGGUCUAAUAAAGUAGUCAAUUGCUUAGGGACAAUUCCACAAAUCCUACCACCACUUUUCCACACUCGCUAUAUUUACUUUAUUGCAUCUUUAUCUAAACAGUCCCUACUUUUUAUUUACGUACUCUUUAUAAUCUUGCAAACCUAUCCUAUCACACCUACAAAGUACCUCUAGUUUCAUACUUGUUUUAGGUAAAGCGAACAUCAAGCGUGCCUAGAGUCGUAUCAGUGGCCGAUAGGACUUGAGAGAGUAUUUGUUGUACCUUUAGCUCCUCGUUGGGUUCGACACUCUUACUUAUCAAAAGAGACUACAACUAUCCCGUAUACUUGUGGGUUAUCAAGACCUUUUUCUGGCGCCAUUGCCGGGGAGUCAUAGCGUGGGGUGAAUAUUCUCGUGUGUGCUUGUUUGCUUUAUCACUAAGUAAUUUUAUUUCCUGUUCUUAGUUGUUUUCUAUCUUUAGUUAUGGGUAGGAAACGCAAAAUACCAAAAAAAUUAGUUGUACCUACUGCACCUAUGGUUGAAGAACCACUCAAAAUCUAUCACACUCCUGAAGCCUUUUACUUGGAUCAUCUUUGAUUCCUUUGUGCUUGUGCUGAAGCCCCUACUAGCUUAGUUGAGAGAAAAUCUUUAGAUGAGUAUGCCUGUUAUGUACGACACCGCAUAUCUGAAAAAUGGAAACUUUUACCGGAUCAAAUUCAUCGUUUGCAAUGCUAUGCUUGGAAUUUAUGUGAAAUAUAUGAUAUUACUUGUUGUUGUGAAAACCCUAAGAAACACCUUCCCUACCAAUGUGAGUUUAUUGAUAAUGGGAUCGUAUCUUCAUAUGCUAAGGGUGUUAACAAUUACAAUGAUGUUCAACAAAUUAAAGAAUUUGUUGCUUUUAAGGGUGCUUAUGAAAUUGCUUCUUUGAUUGACAAGUAUGAUGCUACUCUCUACAAAUCUGAAAUUUUUUCCAUACUUGAAUAUUGUUAUGAUAAUUAUGCUUCUAAUGCCUAUGUUAAACUAUAUAUUGAGAAAUUCUCCGCUGUCCAAGAAGAGACUAAUAUUUUGUAGGAAGCUAUGGAAGAAGAAAUUGAUGAAACUGUGAGCUCAUUGGAUGGAAAAGAUGAUGAGGAGAGCGAAGAACAAAAGGAGGAAGAGCGGAUUGAUCACCCAUGCCCACCUUCUAAUGAGAGUAACUCUUCAACUCAUACAUUGUUUAAUUCCCCUUCGUGCUUACCGAAGGAUGAUUGCUAUGAUCCCGUUGAUUCUCUUGAAAUAUCCCUUUUUGAUGAUGCUUGCUAUGCUUGUGGCCAUGAUGCCAAUAUGAAUUAUGCUUAUGGAGAUGAACUUGCUAUAGUUCCUUAUGUUAAACAUGAAAUUGUUGCUAUUGCACCCACGCAUGAUAGUCCUAUUAUCUUUUUGAAUUCUCCCAACUACACUAUAUCGGAGAAGUUUGUGCUUAUUAAGGAUUAUAUUGAUGGGUUGCCUUUUACCAUUGCACAUGAUGAUUUUGAUGAAUGUAAUAUGCAUGUGCUUUCUGAUCCUACUUGCAAUUAUUAUGAGAGAGGAACUAUAUCGCUGCCUCUUUAUGUUUCCAAUAUGAUAGAAUUGCAAGAAACUGCUUAUACUAUGCAUUGGCCUUUACUUGGUGUGCAUGAAUUGUUCUUUUAUGACAUGCCGAUGCAUAGGAAGAGAGUUAGACUUCGUCAUUGCUUGAUAUAUGUUACUUUGUGCUCACUACUAAAUUACAAAUCAUUUUAAUUAAAAUUGGCUUUGAUAUACCUUGGGAUCCGGGUGGAUUCGUUACUUGAGCACUAAAUUCCUAGCUUAAUGGCUUUAAAGAAAGCGCUGUCAGGGAGACAACCCGGAAGUUUUAGAGAGUCAUUUAUUUCUGUUGAGUGCUUGUAUAUAGUUUAAAAACAAAAAAAAAA
rnacentral:lncRNA from 1 species